ACACCCCAAAAUCAAGAACUGCGGAAACGUUCUGGGGCGGAGGACGUCAUGUACAGUAUCACAACAAUUUAAAGUAGUAAACGAGCAACAACAUCAUCCAUUGCAUUAAUAAUAUGAUUAUUAUACAAGUGUCUUCUGUCAAAUUUUGAUAAACACUAAAGCAUAAAUCAAAAUGAAAGAUGAGUCUUCAACGAGCUCCAUCUUCCCUAAUCCUUGCAUCGGUACCUGUCUAUGAUGACCUGAGGACACGAGUAAUUUUGAAAGCGAGUAUCAGCUUUAAAGCUGGUGAGAUCAUAAGUAUUUUAGUGUCUUAAUUUGUAUGUAAGAAUUUGUAAGUAUUAAAAUGUAUAUGAACUGUAAGUGUAAAAAUGUUUAUAAAACAACUGUAAACGUUUGAAAAACCCUAGAAAUCCCUAUGAUUCCUACUAUUAUGUAAACGGUGUCUUCUACCAAGACCUAGUUGUUUUCAAUGUAGUCUUCUACCAAGACUUAACUGUUUUAAAUGUUCGUUUCUUGUAAAAGUGUGUAAUUUUCCCAAGUGUAACUAUCAUUAACAAAAUAUAGUUUUUACAUUUAAAGUGUAAGUGAAAAAGGAUCACUAAUUAUAUGUGGAGGGAAAAUUAAUGUAGUACUAAAAUGUAGCGCUAUAAGAACCACUGGUGUACUAACUACCUUAAACCGGAUUUAUAUUAAGGCAUCAUGUGAUUAAUUGUACCAUGCUAUUGACUGGUAACAACGACAUAAGAAUGGUCGUAAAACGGAAUGACGUUUGGCACCCGCAGACCUGCGGGUCCGGCUGUAGCUAGCAGCAAGGUGUAGGAUAGUCUGUCCAGUAAAGAUCUAUAUGCAAACUCACGCUCUCCCUCCAAGAGACUCUGGAAAAAACUCAGGCCAUCACAUUUAAGGCAUGCUCCGAUAUACUGGAUCACAAUUAUUAACGUAUUCGUGUACAUGUAAUGUAAUGAACUGUUCUAGCAGUAAUGUACAUGCUCUCUACCUAGCAAGUAUAGUAAUGUACUGUAAUGUUCUAGCUGUAAUGUACGUGCUCUCUACCUAGCAAGUAUAGUAAUGUACUGUAAUGUUCUAGCUGUAAUGUACGUGCUCUCUACCUAGCAAGUAUAGUAAUGUACUAUAAUGUUCUAGUUGUAAUGUACGUGCUCUCUACCUAUCAAGUAUAGUAAUGUAUUGUAAUGUUCUAGCUGUAAUGUACGUGCUCUCUACCUAGCAUGUAUAGUAAUGUACUAUAAUGUUCUAGCUGUAAUGUACGUGCUCUCUACCUAGCAAGUAUAGUAAUGUACUGUAAUGUUCUAGCUGUAAUGUACGUGCUCUCUACCUAUCAAUUAUUGGCUCAUGAAUGAACUGACUCAUUGUAUGAUAUCGUGUUCUAGUAAUGGUUCUAGUAAUGGUUCUAGUAUCUUCCUAAACUACCCAUAUGGUAGUUUACUAGUAAACUAACUGGUACGUAUGGACAUGGAUGUAUACCCUUGCCACCCAUGGACAUGGGAUGAACCGGAAGGGCCUUUAUGACUAUAUAUGUACACAUGAUAUAUAACUAAUAUUUAAACUACCUCCGGACGAGUACCCGAUAUCCUAUCAGACCACAUCCAAAUCGAGGAAAAGGAAACAAGGUGGAUAGCCUUCCUAAGUCUUUUAAACAUUACUUAUAUAACUAUACAUAUAGAGGCAUGCAAUUUAUAAUAUAAAAGCAUAAAAUUAGUUUUGUAAAACCUUUGAACAUAAUUUUUAUUUUAAGAGAAUUCUGACUUGAUGUCAAUCGAUAAAACAGUUUGAAGUGAAAACAGUUUGAAGUAAAACGAUUUGGUAAUAGCUUGGAGUAAAACGGAUCGGAGUAAAAUGGUUUGAAAAGGAUAAUACAGUGUGUAAUGAACAGUUUAAUAAGAAUUUUUAAACAUAUAAAACAUUUAAGAAAAUCAUUUGAAGAACCUGUUUGGUAAAACGGUUAAUGUGUAGUAAAUCAUUUGAAUGCUGCAUAUUAAUCACAUGUGAUUGAUAUAAUAACUAGCAUAAUUCUGCUUAUUAAUCACAUAUGAUUGAUAUAAUAACUAGCAUGAUUCUACUUGUAUCCCUCCACAAAACAUUUAAAAGCAGUUUAAAACAUUAAUUAAGGGGUAUGAACUCACCUGUAGUAAGUGAUUGGAAUUGAACGGACUGUUAUCGUAAGGAAGGAUCGGACAAGUGCUUGGUGUCAAGUGAAGACUUUAGACACACACAAUGAUCCUAAUUACAUAUGAAGACAUAUGUAUAUAAAUAAUUAGUGAUUAAAACACUAAUUAUACAAGUAUAAACAUUUUAAUUCGAGGAAAACACUUUUGGUCAAGUGCUAGGAGGCAAAUGGGUUGCAACAAUGGAGUGCAAUGCCUCUAAUGGGAGUUUAUGGUCAAAAGACCAUAUGUUUUUGAGUUUACGGCCCAGGGGAGUAAACUCCUGGCCGUAAACUAUCACUUAGGUCACAAAAUGAAGCUUAACUUUAAAACAACUUAAGUGGUGAAGAGCUUCUAGUCUUAAACAAGUGUUUGGGCCACUUUUUAACUCCAUUUAGGAGUUCACGGCCUUCGGACCACUCCCCCAUGAGUUUACAGCCGUAAACUCAAGGUAAGGAGUACCAUUUUAUGGUUUGAGGUUCCUAACAUUUCAAGGUUAUGAUCUAUGUUGGGUUCUAGGCAUAAGGAAGGAGUUAGGGUGUCAUUUGACCCCUUUAUAGGGGUUUACGGCCCAAAAACUUGUCUUCGACGUAAACUCCUCAAUACUUAUGAUUCCUUAUGUUUUCUAGGCUAUAAACUCUUUAGGGUACAUGUCUAAAUUCAAGCCUAAGCCUUAGGAAGUGUUUGUGGCAUCAAAACACCCCUAACUAGAGUUUUCGGCCCAUAAACCAUUUGGCCAUGUGUUUGUGGCCGUGAACACCCAUAGGUGUUUGUAUUUUGACUGUUUUGGGUCCUAGAUACAUCAAGGUAAUGUGCUAUGCUAGUCUCUUGGCUUAAUGAAGGCAUUUAGGGUAUUUUGGAAACCUAAAAUGGAGUUCACGGCCCAAGAACUUCCUUGGCCGUGAACUGACUUUCACCUUUGAUUCUUAAUUGUUUUGUGGACUAAACAUUGUAAUGAAGGCUUCUAGUUUGAGUUCAAAGGCUUUGAGGGUCAUUGGGACUCUUUUCGCCAUUAAAAUGGAGUUUACUCCCCAAGUGUUCUUGGGCGGUAAACUCCCAAAUCUUGGGGUUUUGGUCCGAUUUUGAUGUUUCUAAACACAAUCUAAGCUAUAAAAUAUAACUAGAUCGAAGUACUCACAAUUUGGGAUAAAAACCCGAAGAUCUGUGAGAGACAAUUUUGACUUUUCUCUAAAUGGAGAUGUAACUAAUGAACCAAUAUGGUUCAGUUUUCUAUAUAUAGUCCUGGGAUUUUUGGCAGAAAAUAUUUUUAUUCCCGGAAUGAACUCUAAUAUCUUAGAGUAUUGGAAUAACAGUGUUUCACAAAACCCUAGUGCAUCCACUCUCCUGAUAUCUCCUUAAGUGUAAAUCCUGAAAAACUGCUAAACUUAUACUCGAAGUCUAGAAUUUCACUGAAACUGUUCUAACUCCUAUUGGUUUGAUAUGGUUUGUUCAGAAUGGAAAUUUCGGGUUGUCACAUUAUUUGUAAUAAAUCCAGAAGAGGAAGCCGGAUGAGGUUCAAGUAGCCACAGGAUCGGGCAAAAGGCCCAAGGGGUCAGAUUCGAGAUCGAGGGAUUACCAGAGUCGUAUUCGAUGCGAGAGGUGCGGCAGGACGCACGAGGGUGCGUGUAGGAGUGGUAGUGGUAGAGAUUCGGGCUACUUCAAGUGCGGCCGGACUGGUCAUUUUAGCAGAGAUUCUACUGCUACCACCACGCAGGGAUCAAACCUGAUAUGUUUUCACUGCAGUCAACGAGGCCACAUGAAGGCCCAGCGCCCCAAUUUUCUUUCGGCGGGACGGGUGAUAGCACAUAUCCCUACAACUAUGAGGAUCACAGACGGUUGUUAGGGCCAAGCAGAGGGGCAUGCGGUAGGAGGCAGUGCUUUUUAGAAUUGGGCGGCUUGCUUGUGAUUUAGUUAUAUGCGAUCUGCAUACCUUGGAUAAUAAAAUGGUAGUUAGGGGGUUCUGCCCUUUGGAAGCAGGAAACUUAGGAUGCAGUAACUAUAGCAUGCUUGUGUGGAACUCUGUAGUGACCCACUGGAUUCAGAAAGGUGUUAUUGAGUGAUGGAUCGGUUAGAUCCCUAGCUAUAGCAAGCUCGGUUCUUCAGCAGAUUGAUUGCGCUAUAGCAGAGAAGAUUGGGAAUUCUUCGCGAGCAUUGAGCAGUGAGGUAGGCAGGAUCAAAGUGGGGGAGAACCCUCCGAGAGUACAGGGGUAAGAGCAUGCAGAUCCAGGAUGAGUACGUGACCUCUAAGAAGGAAAAGAAGUAGCACAGCGAUGGAUGGAUUGAUGAGUUCAGGGUUGGGAGUUUGAAAAACAUCCCUAUAGAGAGUUCAUGUAAUCGAGAUAAUGGUUGGAAUUUCAGGAUGGAGGAUCGCCUGUAGGACUCGAGUGAGUCGGAAUGACGAUUUUGAGAACGUUUAGCAUGGGAUGCUUACGUGUUAAUGGUUAGAGGCAGAGAUAACAUGUAGAGCAUGGUAGGGCAGCGGGAGAGCCGCAACAUUUUUCUAGCAGCAAGCAAGUGGUGGAAGGUGUUGUAAGACUACGAGGUAGCCAUAGCAUUCACCAGCGGCCAGUUAGCAUGGAAGGUAUUGUAAGAAUACGGGUAAGCCGUAGCAUUCCCUAGCAGCAUAGUUAGCGGAGAGUGGGCGGGGGCCUGUAUCUCCUAGUUAGCGGAGUUUCGACGAUGUCCUUACCUCUUAAUGAUCAAGGUAAGGAUCAGGAAUGGACAGUUGAUGAGAAUAGCAUGGAACUAGCCUGCAUAGCCCUAGAAAGGUGAGGCCUUGGGAGAGGCCGCUCCAGGAUAUAGUUGGGUGAGACCCGUGGGCGAGGCCCGUAGGUGAGUAGCAGUAUAGGUGAGACCUAAGAGCAAGGUUGCUCGGUAGUAUAUAUUCGGGUGAGACCCGUGGGCGAGCCCGUGAGUUUUAGUAGCACAGGUAGGACCAGGUAAGGACCUUAGGGUAAAGUUAGGCGAUUGAGGAUCCCAGGAUUUGUAGGGCCAGAGUGGCAGGGUAAAUGGAGUAGUAUUAGGUGGCCGAAGUUUCUUCGGAAGUCGCUGGGAGCGACUGAGAGAUAACGAUGGGACUAGCGACCGGUAGGAGUCCGUUAAUUCAGAUAUUGAUAGAUUAGUAGGGACCAGGGUGGUCUCGGUUCAUCCGGAAGGCGGAUAAGGAGCAGCAGAAAAUUUCAGCAAGUGGUAGUGAUGGUAAAAAGGCCACGAUGCAAGACAACUAAUUGAUCAGAGAGUCUUAUGCAUCCCACAACAGGGUUGGAUAAUCUCAGAGGGAAGGAUUUGACCCUGUUACGCAGCUCUUGUUUGAGUCUAACCGUUGCAAGGAUGAGUCUUUUACUCGAAGGAUUAUCCGAACCAUUCGUUGUGGUGGGUGCUCAACACUAAGAUAUGGUAGUAAGAAGUAUCCAGUGGGUACUGGAAGUAAUGACCGCUCUGGAAGUUGUAGGAGUAAUGGAUUCGGUGAAGGAUAAGUCCUGCACAGCGAUAAAGGAGGUAGGUGGUUAUGGAACGUUGCCUUGGGGAGACCGGAAAACGCACUAGGAAAAGGGCGUGAACCCCUAGGAUGUGCAGCAUAAGUACUCGAGGAGUACUGGAAGGAUCGUCGGUUAAGAGAGUUGUAUUCGCGAGAUUGUUAUUUGCAAGGUCUAGUGUCAUUCUGAAUGACCGGGAGGAAGGCCAACGAAGGUAGUCAGCGGGUGUUAGGUCUACCAAGCAGAGUGUUGAAAGCAGAUUGUAGGGCGAUUGGCCGUAGAGAAACUUCGAGGACAAAGUUUAGUUUAAGUGGGGGAGAGUUGUAACACCCAGAAUCAUAUAGACUAAGAAAGGAAAGGAAAACGCUAAGUCAAGGGGUCAACUCGUCGAGUCAAUAGGUGAACUCGACGAGUCGGAGCGGGAUCCGGGUUAUGGAAUAAGUGACCGACUCGACGGGUCGGCAAGUAGACUCGACGAGUCUGGUCUGAUUGAGGAAAGCCCUAAUCUGAGGGUUUGCACCCUAUUUAAAGGACCUUAAAUCCUCUCCUUAGUCCCCCUUGUCGGCCAUAAGCUGCUAUACAUGAUUCCAAACCCGAAGUUGUGUGAGAGAAGGAAGAAAUUGAGUUUGGGGCUUUUGCAAGAGGACGAUUUGGAGGAUUUGACCACUAAGGAGCUGGAGGAUCCAACCCUUUUAUUGUGAGCAUCAGUUUGAAGGUAACAAUCUGUCACCUUGCCUUUGUUGCUUCUAGAUCUUCUCAUGGAUGAUGUUUUGGUGCCAUUUUGGUAUGAUAAAGAGCCAUUUUGAGUUAGAAGUCCAUAUCUGAGGUUGCUACUUCAGAUCUAGGUGUGUCUUGGCCCAGAGAUCCAUAAAGUAUCAGUUUUUGGUGUCUUGGUAAAGCAUGUUUGCCCCAAAACCUAGCCCUAGAGUGUUUUAAGCAUAUAUUUGAUUAAGCAAUUGUUGAGGACAAUCUAAGGUUUACCAAAGAUUGGUUGAUCACGGACAGUUGGAAAUAUAGUGUUAAUUUUGGAAGAUCCAUAUUGACAUAUCCUGAAAAGAUGAAACUCUUGUUCUGGAGUAAUAGUGAAAAGGGGAAUAUCAAAAUGCUCCCAUAAGUGGAAGUUAUUCAUUAAAUCUACGUAAGAUUAGGAAACUUAAUGCAAGAAGAAUGUUCAAAGGCAAUGAACUUUGGAUAUGAGACUUCGGUUCCGUGGAGUUGAUCUCCAUUGGAAUAAUCUGUAAUGUCAGUUGACAAGUCUUUGUGACUUUGUGCAUAAUCAUUACAAGAGGACUAAUGCAUAUAAGUUUACAAUCUAGUAGAUUUAGGUAAAUGGUAGGAAUUUGGAAUGCUUGCAUUAGCGGUAAGGAUUUGGGAUUGUGAAUUGAGUAUCACUGGAAUUAUGUUCAAUCCAUCUAUUUCAAAGAGUAAAGAUCAUAGACAAACUUAGUGUGCAUACUUGGUGUAUGGAGUAACUAAUGUUUGGAAAAACAUAGUGUGCAUACUUGGUGUAUGGCAUGACUAGUGUUUAGAAAAACAUAGUGUACAUGCUUGGAGCAUGGAACAACUAUUGUUUUUAAUUCAAGUAUAAAGUCAAUAGUUUGAAACAGUAUGCAAUGAAUGAUGGGUAAUCAAUAUGGUGAUAAAUAAAAGACGUUUUAUUUAUAUUCAUAAGUUCUGAGACCAUAUUGGAUUCGAUUAUUCUUGUGUUUCACUUUGCAUGUUUUGACCUCCAGAAUAACUAAGUCGCUCUUCCUGAAUGACUAAGUUAUUCAAACCAUCCACAGUCGGUCAUAUGUUUGACGUAGAUAUGAAUCAAGACUAUCAUGAAGCUGGAUUGUAGAUGUCCAAGGUAUGGGAUAUAACAAGGAUUUUUGCAACAUUCAUGAGUGCUCAUAAGUUCUGGGUAUUGGAUUCAACCCACGCUCACUGGUUUCACUUCAUGGAAUUUAUCUCGAGUGAUCGUGAGACGGUAUUAUCAUAUAAGUCUUCAAACCUAGGGAUAUGACUUGUUGCGUAUGAGUUGGUUAUACAUUGAUUUUACGUAAACGCAUUGGUAACUCGAUGUUAUAAAACGUGCCUUUGUGUAUGAUUCAACAAGUAGUAGAACAAGCAUAUGAGUCGAAGUUUAUCUAUUCCUUCUUAGAUUGGAAGCGAUAUUUGGGUCCCUUGAUGAUUUUGUGUUGACCCAUGUACCGGGCCCGGUCAGAACUAAGUUGACGUGUUUACAUAAGUUCUUUGUCAAACAAAUCGGAAAUCAAGAAACAAACUGCUGGACAAUAAGUAAGACAUUGUUCCAUGUAUUUGUCAGGCUGAUAUCUAGAACAGAUGAUUGUAUGAUCACUUAUCUUAAAUGGAGUAUCAUCGUCAUCUCAGUUCCACGAGACCUUGAAAGAGCUAUGAUUGCUGAUCGGUUCUUAAAGUUAUUCUUGCAGAUAUAAUUAUUAGACUUAUCCAAGUGGGAGACUGUUGGAUUAGGUGUCUAAGUUCAUAACUAUUAUGGAAUGUACUUGACCCGAUUAGCAUGAUCUAUUUGGGUUGCAUGGCAUCAUCCAUUUGGAUAGACCAAAAUGAGAGAAAUAUCACUUAAGGUUUAUUAAUAUAUUAUAAGUUCUAAUAUAUUAAUAAUAUUAUUUAAUUAGUGUUGAUCAAGAAUUAAUUUGAAAUUAAUUAAGUGAUCAAAAGAGACUAAUUAAAUAUAUGGGUUGAUUGUGUAAAUCACCCAUACUUGUAUAGUGGGCUAAUGCUCCAUGGAUUAUGAAGUUGUGCUAAAACCCAUAGGAUGCUCUAUGGGUGCUCCAUGGUGUCUUUGAACCCAUGGAUCAUGGAAAUUAAGAGCCAUGUCAAGUUAGGGUUUCCAUAGUGUAACCCUACUUAUGACACACUAUAAAAGGAAUAUGUGAGCAACCAAAAUCGUCACUAGUGUGAGAACAAGAGGGCAUAGCCGAUUUUAGAAGUGUUCUAUUUCUCACAAGGUUAUUCCAAAUAUAUUUGGUGUUGUGUGAGACAUUUGUGGCAUCACACUUAAGGUGCUAGGCUCAUAAGGUUUUCAAGGAUCCAAACUACAAAAAGUUAUGUUUUUCUUCUAGCAUUUAUGUUUAAAAGUUCCACAUGAUAUGCUAAAUAGUUUAAGAACCUUGGAAAAUCAAUUUUGCAUGUAUCAUAGUAAAACAUAGAUCCAAGGUUUCUAGGGUUUCAUGUACACCUUAGGAGUGUUAGAGUGCUCCAAACCCUUCAUAUAUGUCAUUUGUUUGAUAUUAAAUUUUCAGGGACCACAGUCUAGGUUUAUCUGUUGGGUUGACAAAGCAAAAGACAAUUAUUCAUUGAUAAUCUGUAACUUAGUUCGAUCAAAGAAGAAGCUUGAAACAAAAAUUUGCACUUGAAGAUAGCGUUAUGUUAGUCCCAAACCCUUUGAAGGUUCAUACAUCAGAUACAAACAAGAAUGAACAAUAAAUGAACAAAUGAUUAUCACAAAUAUGUUUUCACUAUGAAAAGGUUCACACAAAGUGAGGCAUAAUGGACUAUUUGGGUUUAACCCUAAUAGUACAAUAUACGAUUAUAGAAACGAAGAUCCCACUAUUUUGGGGAUGUAUACUUAUAUUUCUAAAGGUAUGACACUCAUCACCAAGAUUAUGGAUCAGAUACCUAUUCUAUAUUUGUAGAGUAUAUCUACGUAAUAUACAAACGAUCAUUAAGAUCAUUAUGAUCACGUUGUCAUGGAUGAAGUUGGAGCUGGCAUUGGUGGGUAGCGCGUUAUGUAUUUGAUUCGUUAUAUCAUAAGUGGUGACAUUACACAUUAAUUUGUAGUUAGAUUUUCUUUUUUGGAAUUUUUGUCUACAAGUUGUAAGCUUUAUGUUCAUCAACUAGGUUUAUGCAACACUUAUUACUUAAUCUAUGUAAUAUGUAAUGUUCUCUUAUUUGUUAUUAUUAACAUGGUACUUGUAAAUUAGGUUUUUUCUAUUUUUCUAAUAUGUAACAAAUAUUAGGCCAAUAAUCAUAUUUUCCUUUAGAAACUGCAAAUCAAUUAUAAACAUAAUUAAUAGCAAUUACAUUGGCAAUAAAACAACCAUUAAUGGGUAUGGUAUAUCCUAUUCUGAUGGAGGGGGAAGAGGGCGCAUGGUUUGUUUCUAGUAGACAGUCUGAAACAUAUCAGCCUAAUAAUAUACUUGAACCAUAUCAUGUAAUUAAUGGAUAUUCGAAUGAUGUGAUGUCGCAAUUGCAUGACUACAUGCUAUACACAGACUGCACCAUUUCCUACAUGAAAAUCUAUGACAGUUCAAAUCUACAACACAAGUUUUUUUAAAAUUAGAAACUCGAUUGUCAGAUAGGAACGGAGACGAGAUCUAUGUCGGAAUCUUUGUUCCUUGCCCCCCAAACAGACUUUUGCAUCCUUUUAUCACGCACUAUAUCAGCAAACAAGGUGAGUACGACAGUCAAGCUCUCUGAAAUGUAAAUUUGAUCAAAUAAGGUUCUUGUAAAAGUAAUUAAAUAAUUUAAUAUUGCACCCGACAUUUUACCUGCCAUUAAACUCAUUAAACGAAAGUACGUUGAAUGUAGUCACACCCAGAAUCCAAAAGACCAAGAAAGGAAAGAAAAGCCCUUAGUGAAAGGAGUCAACUCGUCGAGUUCAAGGAAGAACUAGACGAGUUGGAGCCGGCUCCGUGUGGAAGAAAAAGUGACUGACUCGACGAGUCGGCGAGUGGACUCGGUGAGUCUGGUCUGGGUUGGGAAACCCUAAUUUCGGGACUUGGUACCCUAUUUAAGCGUCUUAUUCUCUUCCCUAGGAUUCAUUUUAAGCCUCUCUCGUCCGGAACCCAAAACCCUAGCCACCCAACUCCAUAGUUUGAGCUUUUGAAGAAGAUUAAGGGCCAUUGGAGUGCAAAUUUUCGGUUUUGGGGUGUGACACAUGUCUUCGCGUUCCAUAUGAUCCAUCUAUGCCCUGCGUACACCAAGCUUACACCUAGUGUACAACCUCGGCUAAGCACACUCAUAAAGGCCCAAUCCACUAAUACCAACACAACUUACAUGAUUAAUACAAUUAAUUAAAUAAUACCUUAGAACGUAUUCCGCCGUUCUCGAAUUUGGGGUGUGACACAUGUCUUCGCGUUCCAUAUGAUCCAUCUACGCCACGCGUACACCAAGCUUACGCCUAGUGUAUGCCCCACGUACACUAAGCUUACACCUAGUGUCCUCCACCCCAUAACGUAUUCCGCCGUUCUCGGUUUUGGGGUGUGACACAUUUCUUCGCGUUCCAUAUGAUCCAUCUACGCCCCGCAUACACGAAGGUUACGCCUAGUGUACAACCUCGGCUAAGCACACUCAUAAAGGCCCAAUCCACUAAUACCAACACAACUUACAUGAUUUAUACAAUUAAAUAAAUAAUACCUAAGAACCGUCGGAUGUUACAAAUCUAUGACAUUUACUGUUUGGAAUGACUACACAUAUUGUCAGGAAUCUAUGACAGUUACCGUUCUGAAUGCCAAUACAUAGUGUAUGCAAUGAACAAAGGUUCAAAGCCUAUGAGGAGGCAUCCUAGGUUCAUUUUAAGGUUCAAAAGCAACGUCCGGAAUGAGGGUCCGAAAUAGCCAUUCUGGAAUAUGGCGUUGGAAUGUGGUUUUGGAAUAGUGUCAAGAAUCUAUGUUCGUAGUACAUACCAUUAUAUAAAGGAAUUCAAGUGUCCAAACUCUUUACCUUCUUAAAUUUACUACUAAACAUUCAUUCCUCAUAAUCCAAAAAAUUGCAUACUUCGAUUGUGGCUCUCAAGGUAUCAUAAGUACAUCAAUGACUAGAAAUAACAUUGGACGGCUAUUUUAUGUUUGUCCUAAAGAGGUAUGUUGGUUAUCCUUUUAUUAUUUUUUUGAAUUAAUAUUAAUUUAUACAAUAUAUUGUUGGAUUCGGUGUUUAAUUUCAUAACUAUUCUAGAAUGUACUUGACCCGAUUUGCAUGGUCCAUUUAGGUUGCUUGGCAUCAUGCAUUUGGAUAGACCAAAAUGAGAGAACUAACACUUAAGGUUUAUUAAUAUAUUAUAAGUUCUAAUAUAUUAAUAUUAUUAUUUAAUUAGUGCUGAUCAAGAAUUAAUUAAGUGAUCAAAAAAGACUAAUUAAACAUAUGGGUUGAUUGUGUAAAUCACCCAUACUUGUAUAGUGGGCUAAUGCUCCAUGGAUUAUCAAGUUGGGCUAAAACCCAUAGGAUGCUCCAUGGGUGCUCCAUGGUGUAUUUGAACCCAUGGAUUGUGGAAAUUAAGAGCCAUGUCAAGUUAGGGUUUCCAUGGUGUAACCCUACUUAUGACACACUAUAAAAGGAAUAUGUGAGCAACCAAAAUCGGCACUAGUGUGAGAACAAGAGGGCAUAGCCAAUUUUAGAAGUGUUCUAUUUCUCUCAAGGUUAUUAAAAAUGUAUUUGGUCUUGUGUGAGACAUUUGAGGCAUCACACUUGAGGUUCUAGGCUCACAAGGUUCUCAAGGAAUCGAAACUACAAAAUGUAUGUUUUUCUUGUAGCAUUUAUGUUUAAAAGUUCCCCAUGGUAUGCUAGAUAGUUUAAGAACCUUGGAAAAUCAAUUGUUCUUGUAUCAUAGUAAAACAUAGAUCCAAGGUUUCUAGGGUUGCAUGUACACCUUAGGAGUGUUAGAAUGCUCAAAACCGUUCAGUGGUAUCAGAGCCAAGCACAAACUCAUCAUACUCAUCGAGUAAGUUCAUGCACUCAGCGAGUAAGAGCCCCAUAAUGCAAAUUUUCUAGUUUUGCUGUUGGAAAUGGACUAGGAACAUUACCCUAAACUAUUUUGGCCUUAUAAAACUUGUUUUAGAUGGUGUAAUGGUUAUGCUAAUCCAUUUUCAAUAGCUAUUAUCAAAAUUUCAAGUUUUAUAUGGUUAAUUUUAUGAUUCUUUAAAUUGUUGAUAUACAUGUUCAUGAACUUAUGAAUUUAAAAGAUCAUAUGAAUUAUUUGUAACUUCUUGUUAGUUUAAUUCUAGAUCAUUUUAUAUUUUAAUGGAAUCCAUAAUUUGUCCUCAAGUUAUGGAUUACCAAAUGUCAUUCUUUUAAGGUCCAUUAAAGAAACACAUAGAUUACAUAAAGAGAAAAUUCUCUCAUUUUAAUAAACCAUUUAAUUCAUAAGUUAUGAAAGAUGAAAAGUUUUGAAAUUACAAAACUUGCCCUCAAGUUUUGGAACAUUUAAAGUCUCUUUAAUAACUUUAGUUCCAAGCCCUAGAAUUUUAAAAGUUAAAAUUCAACCCUUAUACUUUAUAAUAUUAUAAGUUAAUAAUAAUUAUAUAUGUAUAAGAACAACUCGUUUUACCGUUAGUAGGCCUCAUUCACGAAUCUGUUCUAUAAGGGGGGUAUAAGUUUCCUGCCUAUAAAAUGACAGCUUAAUGGGUGUCCACUCACACGAACCGCUUCCUUGAUCGGUGGAGGGUUGUUAGCCAAACGGGUAUGACAAGGACUUUAAAUAUUCAUUAAAAUAAUUAAUGCUUAAUAUAAAGUAACUAAACCUUUUAUAAAUUCCCAAUAUUAGUUACUUUAGGAAAAUGUGAAUAAGGUGCUAACCCAUGAAAUUACACUUUCCAGUUUGCUAAAGUCGGUUAGUGGAGCGCGUGUGGUUAACCGACACACUAGCUGGACUUAACAAGGUAGGCAAAGGAUAACUUAAUGUUUAUCAUAAUAUAAAUGAAGCACAUGUGGUUAACCGGCACAACGAUUAAGGGGUAAACAUUAAGGGUACCAAGUAAUUUGCAUGGUUACUUCACACCUUGUUUUCUGAUCCUCGGCAUCCAAGUCACAAAACCUAAAGGGUACACUCGGCAUCCUAUUCACAUAAAGUAAAUACUCUUAUAAAUAUAACUCUUGAGACUAGACUUAACUUGCCAUUGGCACCCUCAGAAGGGUAAAAGACUAUUUUACCCCCCUCUUGACACAAGUACUCCAUUGUUGACCAAACCCUAAAUGUCAACAAAAGUUAACGGUCACACUUUGACCCUACUCGCCGAGUACACUCUGGUGACUCGGCGAGUUCACUCAUGUCCUCUAAAUCUUUGUUCCGCUUGGCACACCGAGUCCCUCCCUAUGCUCGACGAGUCAUACCAGGCACAAAUCGCGGGGCCACCCCGACUCAACUCGCCGAGUCUCAAGAACAACUCGGCGAGUACUGACUUGAACUCCAGUCCUCUAACCCCUCCCGACUCACUUAGUCACCCCCAACUCGGCAAGUCUACUCAUUGAGCAAUUUACGUGAAACUAUAACCCUAAUCGCCGAGUCUCAAGAACAACUCGGUGAGUUCAUGCCAUGCACAAUCUACUGACCUCCUGAGGUCAGAUCUGUUUCCCUAAACCAUAGAUCUGGCCUCCCCAAGCAUGAAUGUCACAUAAAGUCUGAAACUUGAUGCUUGUAUAACAACAAGAAGGCAUCAAAAGGGGAUUUAGUCCCAAAAAUGGCAACCUAAGUCUAAUAACCCCAAACUGAUCCAUAAAGCUCCAAGGGUUAAGGUCUUUGGACCUCUUUGAGUCCAGAUCCAAGGCACAAACUUGAAGAAGGACCAUUUGCUCCACAUAAUCACUCUCCAAAGGGGGUUAGAAAAUCCUAACUCUAAUGAUCAACACCAAAACAGAAGGAGGUUCGAACUAUUAUCUCAAAAUGAAGUCUCUGAACUCUAGAACUGCUAGAAUCGCACCUCCUCUUUGCUCUUGGUCAUCUCCUUCUUGAUAAACCAAAGGUUCAAGGAUCAAAAGUGACUUCUUCUCCCUCACAACGAUUUGGAUCACUUAGGGUUCUCUCAAUGGACUGGUAGCCGCAAUGGGUGGCUAUAAGUGCCCUUAAAUAGGCUCCAAACCCGGUGGAUUAGGGUUUCAUUAAACAACGUGGACUCGUCGAGUCCAUGAAUGGAGUCGCCGAGUCCGGACGUGAACCCGGAUGAACAUUCGCGACCCUACUCGGCGAGUCUUGGCUCUAACUCGCCAAGUUCCUCCACAAACUCCAAAAUAAUAAAAUAAAAUAAUAUACCUGGAUCAGGAUGUUAUAAUUCUCCCCUACUAGAAUCAGACUUCGCCCUCAAAGUCUCACUCUGGAAACAACUCCGGCUCCCAAGUAAGCUCUGACCCAUUCCGGUGUUGCCACUGGACCUGCACCAGAGGCACUUCUUUGUUCCUCAGAACCAUGAUCUUUCGAUCCCGAAUAGCCACCGGUCUCUUAACGUAGUUCAGGCCCAUAUCCACCUGAAUAUCCUCUAAUGGCACUACUGCCGACUCAUCGGCUAUACACUUUCGCAACUGCCACACAUGGAAAGUGUCGUGAAUUUGACCUAGCUCUGCAGGUAGCUGCAACCGGUAGGCUACCCUGCCUACCCUCACGAUCACCCGAAAAGGACCGAUAUAUUGGGACCCCAACUUGCCCCUCUUCCUGAAUCGGAUCACUCCUUUCCUAGGAGAGACCUUCAGGAGUACAAAGUCGCCAACCUGGAACUCGAGCUCGGACCGGCGCCUAUCUGCAUAACUCUUCUGAUGACUCUGAGCGGUCAAUAACCUCUGCCUGACCUGCUGUAUCUGCUCAGUCGUCUAAAGCACGAUCUCGGUACUACCCAUCACACGCUGCCCGACCUCUCCCCAGCAAAUGGGGGUCCGACGCCUUCUCCCAUACAACAGCUCAAAGGGUGGCAUACCAAUGCUCGAAUGAUGGCUGUUGUUGUAGGAAAACUCUGCCAAGGGCAAAUAUGUGUCCCAACUCCCGCCGAAAUCCAACACACAUGCUCGGAGCAUAUCCUCGAGCGUCUGAAUCGUCUGCUCGCUCUGUCCGUCAGUCUGGGGGUGGUAUGCGGUACUAAAAUGCAGCUUAGUACCCAAUUCCUCAUUAAAUUUCUUCCAAAAUCUGGAAGUGAAACGCACAUCUCGGUCCGAGACAAUCAAGAUCGGCACUCCAUAUCGCGAUACCACCUCCCGCUCGUACAUCUCUGCCAACUUCUCCACUGAGUAGCCCUCACUGAUAGCAAGGAAGUGGGUGCUCUUUGUCAACCUGUCUACAAUCACCCAAAUUGCAUCGUCUCCCCUAGCAGUCCUUGGCAAUUUGGUUAUAAAGUACAUGGUAAUCUGUUCCCACUUCCACUUGGGAACCUCCAACGGCUGCAACUUACCAUGCGGUCUCUGGUGCUCGGCCUUAACCCUACGACAGGUUAAGCACCUCUCAAAAAACCACGCGACAUCCCGCUUCAUACAAGGCUACCAAUACUCCCUCUUCAGGUCUAAAUACAUCUUAGUGGCCCCAGGAUUGAUCGAGAACUUCGACCGAUGAGCCUCUUUCAUUAAAAUGGUACUCGUCCCGCCCACAAACGGUACCCAGAUUCGACCCUGGAAUGUCAUAAGCCCCCGACUAUCAGUAAUGAACUCCGAUACCAUCCUGACAACUCGCUCUCUCUUCUGGUUUUCCGAUCUCACGGCCUCAGCCUGGGCCCCACAAUGGUAUCCAACACCGGAGCUGUCACGGUCAAUCUCAAACAAACAUCUUGCAUAGGGGCGCUCUCCGCCCUUCGGCUCAGUGCAUCGGCUACAACAUUAGCCUUACCCGGGUAGUAUAGGAUCUCGCAGUCGUAAUCUUUUACCACAUCCAACCAUCUCCUCUGGCGCAUAUUCAGGUUGGGCUGAUCCAUCAAGUACUUCAAACUCUUGUGGUCUGUGUAUAUGGUACACCGAACCCCAUACAGAUAGUGACACCAGAUCUUGAGGGCGAACACUACUGCCCCCAACUCUAGAUCGUAGGUGGGAUACCUCGUCUCAUGAGGCUUCAGCUGCCUCAAUGCAUAUGCUAUCACAUGCCCUCUCUGCAUCAGGACUUCCCCCAACCCCAAGAUUGACGCAUCAUAAUACUCCACAAAGUCCUCCAUUCCCUCCAUAAGGGCUAACAUCGGGGCUUCGCAUAGUCUCUGGCGAAGUGUCUCGAAGGAGCUCUGCUGCUCUGGGCCCCAUGAAAAAGCGACACCCUUUCGGGUCAACCUAGAGAGUGGCACGGAAAUCUUGGAGAAAUCCCUGAUAAAUCUACGAUAAUAGCCUGCCAGCCCUAAGAAACUACUGAUCUCGGUGGGUGACCUCGGCAACUCCCAACUCAUCACUGCCUCAACCUUGGCUGGGUCGACCAACACCCCUCUCUGGUUAACGAGGUGUCCUAGGAACUAGACCUCUCGCAACCAGAAAUCGCAAUUGGAGAAUUUGGCAUAUAGCCUCUCCGAUCUCAGAACCCCGAGGAUCUCCCUCAAAUGCUUCUCAUGCUGCUCUCUGGAUCUCGAAUACACCAAAAUGUCAUCGAUGAAUACGAUCAUCGAGCGAUCCAACAUCGACCUGCACACUCUGUUCAUGAUAUCCAUGAACUCCGCCGGUGCAUUGGUGAGUCCGAAAGGCAUCACCACAAACUCGUAAUGUCCAUAACGAGUCCUGAACGCUGUCUUCUGGAUGUCCUCAUCUCGCACCCUUACCUGAUGAUACCCAGACCUCAAAUCGAUCUUGGAGAACCAAGAUGCUCCCUUGAACUGAUCAAACAAAUCGUCGAUCCUCGACAACGGGUACCGGUUCUUGACCGUCAACUUGUUCAAGUCUCAGUAAUCAAUGCACAUCCAAUGUGAGCCAUCCUUUUUCUUGACAAAAAGGAUAGGCGCUCCCCACGGCGAGCUGCUCGGCCGAAUAAACCCCUUCCCCAGCAACUCCUGAAGUUGUAAGGAUAACUCCUGCAUUUCUGGAGGUGCAAGGCGAUAGGGCACCAUGGCGAUAGGCGCGGCCCCCAGAACAUAAUCGAUACUGAACUCCACCUGCUUCACGGGAGGCACGCCCGACAACUCCUCCGCAAAUACGUCCGGGAACUCACGCACUAUCAGAAUCUCAUCAACUGACCUCGGUCUCUCUGAUUCAACCCUCGUAUCCAUCACAUACGCUACAAAGCCCUUACAGCCCUGCUGUAGACACUGUCUCUCCCUAGCGGCCGAACAAAAUGCUGACCCAGAACGUGUACCCUCUCCGUACAUCGUAAGAACUCCCCCACUAGGGUCUCGUAUGGUCACCAGCUAUCGCUCGCAGUCGAUAACCGCUCCAAAUCUGCUCAACCAGUCCAUGCCCACGAUGACACAUACAUCUCCUAUCGCAAUAAGAACUAAAUCAAUCGGGAACUCAACACCGAAAAUCUCGAGUAUACACCCUCGGAUCACCUCUGUGGCAUAUACCGCCCUCUCUUCAGCUAUGGAAACUCUCAGAGGUCAACUCAACGCCUCACGACUAACACUGAUGUGCUGACUAAAAGCCAAAGAUACAAAGGAACGAUUCGCACCCGAGUCAAAUAACACCAAGGCAUGUACAGAACUCACAUGAAAAGUACCUACACAUAACAUAAUAUAAACACAAUUUCUCAACAUCAAAAUCAAUAUACGAAAGAAUACAUACCAGCCACGACAUCGGGCGCUGUGUGGACUUCCUCCGUGUUCAACUGAAAGGCUCUCCCUCGUGCCUUCGAUGCCUCGGGCUUCACUGGCCGGCUCUCAGUAGCUCUGACAGCAGCAGGGGCAGAUCCCUAAGAUGCUCCCUGUGCUGAUCCUCGCAGCUACGGACACUCUGCCUUCCGGUGUCCGUUCUGGUUGCAAUGAAAACAUACUGCAAACCCCUUGGGGCAAUCCUUGGCAAUAUUUCCCUCCUUGCCACAUUUGUAGCAAGACCCUGCUCUGCACACCCCAUCGUGGCUCUUGCUGCACUUGCCAUAAGUGCGGCCCCUCUGGUUCCCUGAUCUCAAAUCAGCGGGCUUGGCCUGCUUGGCUACCGGCUGAGACUGUACCGGUCGCCGAUCCCUCCCCUAAGACUCAGCCUCCUCCCAAGCCUGGGUCUCCAGCUCUAUCUCCCUCUUCUGGGUAUUUGCCUGAACCUCGGCAACUAUCCGGUACGUUGAGUUUGCCACGAACUCUCAUAUAUCCCUCCUCAAAUUGCUCAGAUAUCGGCUCAUACGUGCCUGCUCGGAGGACACGUGCUCUGGGCAGAACAUCGCCCGGUCAUGAAACAUCCUCUUAAUCACUGUAACCGACUGAGUGCCCUACUUGAGGUUCAGAAACUCCUGGGCGAAACGCUCCCUCUCCACCUGGGGAACGUACUCAUCUCGAAACGUAGCAGUGAACCUCUCCCAGGUCACUGCAGCAAGCUCAGCAGGCGUAUAGUGUGUCGUCACAAACUUCCACCAAUCCUGCGCUCCCAAGCGAAGCUGGUUCAGUGCGAACCGAACUCUCAAAUACUCUGGAGAUGAGCAAGUAAAGAAACACCCCUCUAUGUCUGAAAUCCACCUCAUCGCCGCAAUCGGAUCCUGGGUCCCGUCAAACUCCGGUGGUCUUGUAUUGCUGAACUCUCGGAACAGCAACGCAUCACCACCCUGUGGCCUAGUCACAGCUAUAGCUACAGUGGCCGCAACAACAGCAGCCUCAGAAAGAGCAGCGUACUGCUCAUCAAAUGUCUCUAUCAGCGUGGUCUUGAUAUACCUGAACAUCUCUGGUAUCUCUGCUCUGAUGGCCGCAGCCACCUCUUCCUGGAUGAUCCUACGGAUCUCCUCAUCACUUGUACCGCUACACCCUGGUGUAUGGCGCGUCCCAACCAUGAUCUCCCUCUCUCUGAAAUACAACACAAGAAUAAAUAUCAGGGACUUUCUCGAGUAUGCUCACACUCGAAUACUCCACCCUACUUGUCCCUUGGUACUCCAAGGAUUCUUACUUGGACUGUGCACUGACCCGGUGUCUUCAGUAGUACGGGCCCAAUACUACCGUCCACACCGCAUCGGCAUUCACCCGAAGUCUUCCUCCCAGAGUCCCAAAUCCCAAGUACUCUACUCUCUCUAAUCAUGUGAUACUCGCUAGCAGAUCUCUCAUAACCUCCUCGCUGCUACCUAAGCACUCUGAAGUAUCCCUAGCAGCAAGACUCCUAGAUUCAGGCAUCACAUAUCAGGCCACUCUAGUCCUAAUAAGAAUACCUAGUCUACUCUAGCAUGCAUAGCAUAGCUCAUCAUAUAACAUAUCAUAUCAUAUCUCAUAACACUUAUUGUAAUGGUAUUUUGGGAAAUCACCGUUCGGGCGCUGGCUGUUCGUACACACGACUCUGCUCUGUUUGUCUCGAAAGUUCUUCUUUUGAAAACUUAUUUAAUUAUCGAAAUUUCCUCANNNNNNNNNNNNNNNNNNNNNNNNNNNNNNNNNNNNNNNNNNNNNNNNNNNNNNNNNNNNNNNNNNNNNNNNNNNNNNNNNNNNNNNNNNNNNNNNNNNNNNNNNNNNNNNNNNNNNNNNNNNNNNNNNNNNNNNNNNNNNNNNNNNNNNNNNNNNNNNNNNNNNNNNNNNNNNNNNNNNNNNNNNNNNNNNNNNNNNNNNNNNNNNNNNNNNNNNNNNNNNNNNNNNNNNNNNNNNNNNNNNNNNNNNNNNNNNNNNNNNNNNNNNNNNNNNNNNNNNNNNNNNNNNNNNNNNNNNNNNNNNNNNNNNNNNNUCCAUCCAUGAAAAUGUUCCAAAAGGUUGUUCUUCAAGUUUCACCAAGAACACACACUAGUGUUCUUGGACUUUUGGCUCAUUUCAAGCUUCUAUAUUGUAAGUACUUCUGUCCUAGAGUAUCAUAGAGCUUAUUAUACUUCCAUAUAUCAAGAAAACACAAAGAAACACUAAGAUCAAAGUUGUUUAUGGUCCAUCAACUCUGUGAACCGUAAACCCUUCUUAAGGGGCAAAAGUGACCCUAGUCCUUUCCUUCCCUUGGGAAACUAGUCUAGACACAUUCCUUAAUGCGUAUAGGACUUGAAAACAUCAAAAUACCCGAGUGCACUAUGGUGACUCGGCGAGUUCACUCAUGUCCUCUAACUCUUUGUCCCGCUUGGCAUGCUGAGUCCCUCCCUAUCCUCGACAAGUCAUACUAGGCACGAAUCGCGGGGCCACCCCGACUCAACUCGCCGAGUCUCAAGAACAACUCGGUGAGUACCGCCUUGAACUCCAGUCCUCUAACCCCCUCCCGACUCACUGAGUCAUCCCCCAACUCGGCAAGUCUACUCACUGAGCAAUUUACAAGAAACCCUAACCCUACUCGCCGAGUCUCAAGAACAACUCGACAAGUUCAUGCGAUGCACAAUCUCUACUGACCUCCUGAGGUCAGAUCUGUUUCCCCGAACCAUAGAUAUGGCCUCCCCAAGCAUGAAUGUCACGUAAAGUCUGAAACUUGAUGCUUGUAUAACAACAACAAGGCAUCAAAAAGGGAUUUAGUCCUAAAAAUGGCAACCUAAGUCCAAUAACCCCAAACUGAUCCAUAAAGCUCCAAGGGUUAAGGUCUCUGGACCUCUUUGAGUCCAGAUCCAAGGCACAAACUCGAAGAGGGACCAUUUGCUCCACAUAAUCACUCUCCAAAGGGGUUAGAAAACCCUAACUCUAAUGAUCAACACCAAAACUGAAGGAGGUUCGAACUAAUACCUCAAAAUGAAGUCUCUGAACUCUGGAACUGCUAGAAUCGCAUCUCCUCUUUGCUCUUGGUCACCUCCUUCUUGCUAAACCAAAGGUACAUGGAUCAAAAGUUACUUCUUCUCCCUCACAACGAUUUGGCUCACUUAGGGUUCUCUCAAGGGACUGGUAGCCGCAAUGGGAGGCUAUAAGUGCCCUUAAAUAGGCUCCAAACCCGGGGGAUUAGGGUUUCAUUAAACAGCGUGGACUCAUCGAGUCCAUGAAUGGACUCACCGAGUCCUGACGUGAACCCGGAUGAACAUCCGCGACCCUACUCGGUGAGUCUUGGCUCCAACUCGCUGAGUUCCUCCACAAACUCCAAAAUAAUUAAAUAAAAUAAUAUACCUGGGAAUCAGGAUGUUACAUUACGGCAUCCCUUUUCCAAGUUUAAAAUAUUGUGUUUGGUCCUAGCCUUAAUAUUUCAUAUUGGGUGUUAUAUUAAGCACUCUAUAUCAACUAUCUUGAAUAUCUCCCAAAAGAUGUAUGGUACAGACAAUUAUGAUCUUCCCAAAACUCAUGGAAUAAGCUUUCCAAAUGAAGAUGAUGUCUCGUGACUGGAUCAUGGAAAUCAUACUUCAAUAAGCUUUCCUAAUGAAGAUGAUGUCCCGUGACUGGAUCAUGAAAAUCAUACAUCAAUUCCUCCACCUCCUCAAAUUAUUGUCCCUAUCCCACAAGUUCAAGGUCACUCAAGCCCUAUUGGUAAGCAAUGUCUAUGUAUGAUCACAUCUUGGAGAUGAAGUCACAUAUUGAAAAGUCGGGAGAGUUGGGUGUCAAAGUCUUGAGGAAGUUGGAUUUUGACUAAUCACUUCCUAAGUCACAUAGUGAGUUCUGUAUGGAAUACUACGUAAAAGACUAUGACAUGACCCUUAAUGAUCUUAUCUAUUUUCUUGGUGCUGCUGAAUCAGCGAUGAUUUGGAGAUCUGGUAAAGCAAAUUUGAUUAGUAGAUCAACUUCCCAAACUACCAUGUACAUUGAAAAAUUGGUGACAUUGGAAAUCCAGAAAGGUUUCCCUUCCCAAUGGAAAGGGAUCGGCCAUUGUCAACUCGGUUGACCAGAUGCUAAAGAGAAAGGCUAUGUCUGAGAUAGUCCUGUGUACCAUUCCCAAAGGGUCCAUAUGGUUCUAUUGCCAAAAAGGAAGGGGCAUUGAUUGCAAAUCUGCCCUAACUACCUAAAAGAUCUGAGAGAAGGUCUAGUCAAAAAGUUUGAUUCUGCUUUAGGUAAGUCCACUAUCUAUCUUUGUUAAGUUCCUUAUUGAUGAUUCUUCAUACAAAAUGCGACUCGGUUACAUUUUGGUGUUAGGCAGAAUCAAGAAAAGGGAAGGACACUUAAAGAAAGAGUAUGCUGAAUCUGAUCGCGAAGAUGGAUUUCAAUUGCAUGGUUCGAAGAUCGGAUUCAUGAGCUGCUAUUUAGGAGUUAUGAUAGAAUAAUAGGAAAUAUGUAAUAGCAUAGUUUUCAUUUAAAGCUGCAAUGUAAGGAAAAAGUUUUUCCGUAUUUUAUAAAUAAAUUAAAAUUUGAUUUUAUUUUAGUUUAUAUAUCCUUACAAUGGCUUUUAUGGAAAAUUGAUGUUUAAAUAUUUCUAGCAAUAUUGUAAAUAUGAAUUUGAUUCUUCCUUUUGGUGAUAGUGUCUAAAUUUAACAAAUAAGGAAAGAUUCUCAUCACCCAAGUUUUCAGUUGGAUAGAAACUUGGAAUCAUACAAGUUGUAUAGUAUGAUGAAUGAGAAUUCUUAGCUUUGGAGAAUGAAGACUAAUUCCAUGUUCACAUUUAUAUGUGAGUCAAGUGAAGGAUUAAGGGAUCGAGUACACAUUCUUGUGUACUAGUCAAGUCCACCACAAAAGAUCGAUAAGAUUAUUCGUCAUGAUUUACUAAAGUUUAGUAAAUAUGGUUAUACUUACCAGUUUAAGUAUAAUUCUGGAACAUUGGAAAAUUUUCAAUGUUUUGCAGGACGAAUGAGAAGAAUCAAAUUAGGCAGAAGGAUAAAAGUUUCUCAAAUAUGGAAAGAUGGGAGAGUAGUUUAGUAUCAUGUUUAGGGAUCAUCUUAAUGAUUAAGAAACAAUAUCACAAUUGGUUCUCUAAGGACGUCUUAGUGCAUUCUUAUGGCUAACAAGAGGAAUCAUGAAUUGUUGAAAUAGUUAAAUCAAGAAGGUGAGUCAUAUUUCGUUCCAAAACAAAUCGUAGAGUCAUACUCCAAGAUUGUAACUUGAGUGACAUAUCUUUAAGAAAGGUUUAUAAUACUAGUCAAAUGUAAGAAUAAAGAGUGUCCUACUCUUGUACAUUUGAAAUGGGUAAUUUGUGAUGUUUUUGAUAAAACAAAGACCAACUAAUGCCCAUUGUGUGAAGUGUUUGUCUUGAUAAAGAAUUUGCACUAUCACUUGAAUAUUUGGCAAGUGAAUUUUAUAUGUGAAGAGGACAGUGGGAGUCUCAAAGAUCUUGGAAAAUCUUCCAGAUCUAAUCAAGAAUAAAAACCUAUAGUUUAUCACUAGCACACGACUUGAGGUUUAUAACCUAUCAUGUUGACAUAUUCAUAUUUCUAUGCCUAUUCCAAUUUUGCAUAUGAGUUAUGAGAGUUCUGAAUUGGUUGCAUAACAACUUGGAAGAAAUGGCAGACCCUUGAGCUGCCAGGUGGCAUGAAGUUAAGACUGCACAAGUUCAAUCCAUAAGAGUUUGGAUUUAUCACUAACCUUGUCUUGUGAUUAUGGUUUUGACAAAUUCACAUGGAUAGGAACACAUACACUAUAAAAUCUAAGUUUCAUAAGGUUUCUCUCUGAUUCAUGAAAAUGAUGGUGAGGAAACGCUUUCACUAAGUAGAUUUUAACUAGAUAGCAUGUAACACCAACAAAAUCUAGGUCAAAAUUAAAAUUUUAUAAAACCAUAAUAGGGAAGUACCAAGUGGUAGAUAUCAUAAUCAGGUUUCUAAAAAUGUAAAGAACACUAAAAUCCGAGUUAUAACGAAGAAGUUAUGACCGAUCGAAGAUCCAUGGCAAUACCGGUACAACACUAUUAAGAGUAAAAUACGAAAUUCUGAUAAAAUACUUUCUAGCCCAAGGUAUCUAAAUGAAAGUCGUAGAUAUCAUUAAACCGUGAACAUACAUAAAAAGAACGCCCAAAUCUGACUUCAUAUGAGGAAGUUAUAAUUUUUUGAAGUUUCGGAUAUAGCGGUAGACAGCUAAAAACUCGAAAUAGAGAUCAAGCGAUUUUUAGCCAACACAACCUAACCGAGAAUCGAAGGUCUCGACAAUAGUGAUACAAAGGUAAAAAGACAGACAAAAACGGGCUUCAGGUGAAGAAGUUAUGAAUUUAUUACGGAGUUUUCCUAUCCCGACCUACUAAAAAUAAAUAAUAAAAAUAAAUUCAAAGAUAUCUGAUGGAGUCUACACGAAAGUUGUAGAGCAUAUUCUCACCUAUGUGUCGAUAUAAAGAACAUCGAAAAGAGAGUUCGUAUGAGGAAAAUAUGAAUUUUUGAAUUUUAUUAAAUAACUAAAAUAUUAAAUUUAAUUAUAAAUACCCAAUAUUAUCCGAAGGAGGAGGAGUCACCGGUCUGAUCCGGAUUAUGCCCAGCAUAAUACCUCGGUAUGCCCAGCGUAAUCCAAGGAUUCGGACCCUAUAAAAAGGGUGUGAGGGUUCCGGGGUUAUUUUCUCAUUUCUUCUCUUUCUCAUGCCGAAGCUCUGCGUUUAAACCCUCGGAGCCAUCCCGAAGUCCCAGUUUUCAUAUUCAAGUUUAGAAGGAAGCUGCAUGAUGGUACUACAAAAUAUGCAAUCAGCCAAGCUCAAGUAAGUACCCCAAAAUACUUAUACAAGUUUAUGUUAUUAUUAUCAGUUAGUAGAACAACAUGCUAGAUUAGGACUAAGGAUCUAGGGAGGAUGCCUUAUGUGCCUGUUAUAUGUGCUUUUGAGCUGCAUGAUGGUACUGGUUAGAAUGUUUAGGUUAUGCCUGAGUAUAUGAGAUUAUGUUGCAUGCUAGUACAAAUUCUUGAUAUGAGAUUAUGAUUGCUUGAGUAUGUUAUGGUUAGAUUUUCCCUUGUCUGAAUGUUGCUUGCUUUGUGCAUUGUGGGAUUCUGAGUGAUGGGAGUUAGCCAUUCGGUGAGUACGUCAUGUCACAUGUGAUCAGGGUUGAAUAAUCUCAGAGUGCUGGAUUUGGCCUUAUUGCGCAACUCUCAUUUGAGUCUAACCAUUGUAGGAACGAGUCUCUACUCGAAGGAUUAUUUGAGCCUCGUCACAUGUGAUGGUAUUUAGGUGAUGGCUAAUUGGCAUCGCAAAGGGGCCUUCAGCAGCUGAGGACUUGUUUAGGUGGAGCCAGAGGUUUCCUUAGGGUAAGCCUUGGAUGAGAUAGUGCUGGGAGCAGUAGUAGUAGAAAAAGGGACCUGGUGGAGGCGAAGCAGUUCUUGAGGAAAAUACGGAUAAAUGUGGAAGGCAGUAUGGGCCCGUACUACUGAAAGCAGAGGAUCCGUACUCGAUUCGAGUAAGACCGAGAUGAGACCGGGAAACUUGUAGUGUGUGUGUGUAUGAUCCCUUAGCAGUGAUGAGUAUUCUGAUAGUUAAUGUGAUAUGUUUCCAGCAUGGUGACAUUGCGUGAGAGACUAGUGGGCGGGUCAGGCGCCUGAGAGAAAUCAGGCUCAAGUUCAGGGACUGAGCAGCUCGACGAGCAUUUGAGAGAGUUUGUGUCUGCGGAGGUUACGCGCAGCAUACUAGAUCAAACUCCUGUGAUCUUUGGCACAGUCAAGGAGGGUAUACUGGAGAUCUUGAACAAGAGGUUGGGAGCCUUACCUACCGAGAUGAUGGCCAUGAUGGGAGCGCGUACCUUGACAUCUCGAGAGUUUAGAGCUUGCGGAGCACCAGAUUAUCAUGUGUCCAGGGACCCCAUAGCCAGCAGCAGGUGGUUGGCCAAUGUCAUCUAUGCAUUCCGUACGAGCCGGUGUCCCGAGGGGGGACAAGGUCAGACUCGCCUCCUGUCUUCUAUAGGAUAGAGCGUGGGAUUGGUGGGAGGAGGGUGGACAUGCCAUUGGUGAUGAUGUCGUGUUGGAUGCGAUCACAUGGAGCGAUUUCUCGGCGAGGUUCAGGGCUGAGUUUUCACCAAUUAUUGAGGUGCAGCAGUUGGCACGGGAGUUUCAAGAUUUGACACAGACUACUGAGACUGUGGCGGAGAUCACCGCCAAGUUCAGGGAGAUGGCCGUGCUUGUUCCGCAGUAUGUCGCGGAUGAGGAGAUGAAUAAGGCCCGAUACGACGAGAUGUUGAGGGAUGCCAUCAGGCAGUUUGUGAGCAGGUCCAGCUACAAAACGUUGGAGGAUAUGAUCGAUCGGGCUAGAGAGAGGGAGAUUUAUUUGUAACAGAUCCGGAAGAGGAAGCCGUAUGAGGUUCAGAUAGCCACAGGUUCGGGCAAAAGGCCCAGGGGGUCAGAUUCGAGAUCGAGGGAUUACCAGAGCUGCAGCCGAUGCGAAAGGUGCGGCAGGACGCACGAGGGUGCGUGUAAGAGUGGUAGUGGUACAGAUUCGGGCUGCUUCAAGUGCAGCCGGACUGGUCAGUUUAGCAUAGAUUCUACUGCUACCACCACGCGAGGAUCAGACCUGAUAUGUUUUCAUUGCAGUCAACGAGGCCACAAGAAGUGUCACACCCGAAAACCAAGAACGGAGGAAAUGUUCUUGGGCGGAGGACGUCAUGUAAAGUAUCACAACACAGUAAAUGUAAAUAAGCAAACAACAUCGUCCAUUGCAUUAAAUAUAUAAUUUUAAUACAAGUGUGUUCUGUACAGUUAUAGACACCAAAAAUAAUGUAAAUCAAAAUAAUAAGAUGAGUCUUGGAUGCGCUCCAUCUUCUCAAAAGCUGGCCUCGGUACCUGUCUACUGAUGACCUAAGAAUACAAGUUAUUUUGAAAGAGUUUAUCAGCAUUAAGCUGGUGAGUUCAUAAGUAUUUUAGUGUCGGUGUUUGUUAUCAAAAAUGUUUGAAGCUUUCUCAAGUGUAAGUUUGUAAAAUGUAAGCAAAUGUUUGUAAAUGUUUGUAAAAGUUUGAAUCUCUCAGAAAAACCUAUAUUUUCUAUUAAAGUAGCCUUCUACCAAGGCUUAACUAUUUUGUAUGCUCUUGUAAAAGUGUGUAAUUUCCCAAGUGUAACUAUCGUUUAACAAUAUAUAGUUUAUACAUUAAUGUUUAAGUGAAAUAAUCACUAAAUGUAUGUAAUGGGUAAAACAUUGUAGUACUGUAGUGUUGUAUUAUAGGAACUACUGUUGUACUAACUACCUUAAACCAGAUUUAUAUUAAGGUAUAAUGUGAUAAAUUGCACCAUACUAUCGACUGGUAACAACGACAUACGAAUGGUCGUAAUAAUGAAAUGACGUUUGGCACCCGCAGACCUGCAGGUCCGGCUGUAGCUAGCAGCAAGGUGUAGGAUAGUCAAUCCAGUAUAGAUCUAUACGCAAACUCACGCUCUCCCUCCAAGAGAAUUCUGGCUACAACUCGGGCCAUGACAUUUAAGGCAUGCUCCGACACAGUGGAUCACAAUUGUUAACGUAUUCAUGUAUAUGUAAUGUAAUGUUACUUGUUCUAGUAUUGUUGUAUAUGUUCUCUUCCUAGUAUAGUUGUAAAUGUUCUCUUUCUAGUAUAGUUGUAUAUGUUCUCUUUCUAGUAUGGUUGUAUAUGUUCUCAUAGUAAUGUAAUGUAUAUACUCAUGAAUGAACUGACUCAUUGAUCGAGAAAUUGUAGUGGUAUGAUCAUGUGUUACCCGGAUGGUAACUUACUAAUGAUGUGUCUAAUACGCAUGAAUAUGGAAGUACUUUUAUGUCUAUAUAUGUAUAGUUGAUAUAUAAUUAAUAUUGAAACGAUCCUCGGAUGGUUACCCGAAAUCCCACCAGACCACAUCCAAAUCGAGAAAAAGGAAAUAGGGCGGAUGGCCUUCCUAAGCCCUUUAAACAUUAUUUAUAUAUCUAUACAUAUAUGGGCAUGCAAUUUAUAAGAAGUAAAACAUAUUUUAAUAAAAGCAUUUGAUAAGUAAAAGAGUUUGUAAAACAUUUUGAAGUAAAAUAGCUUGAUAAACAGUUUGAACAGUGAUAAAAUCAUUAGUUUUCUAGUUAUUAAUCACAUGUGAUUGAUGUAAUCACAUGUGAUUGAAGAAAUAACUAUAAGUAUUUAACUUGUAUUCCCCCCCAUAAAGUAUUUAAAACAUUUAAAAGUAUUUCAAAGGUUAAUUAAAGGGGUAUGACCUCACUUGCGGUGGUUUUUGGUGUUUUGAAGUGCUAAAAGAUUUCUAGAAUAAGCCUAGCUUGGUGGUUUAAUCCUUUGGGUAGUUUAGGGCAUAGAUAAUACUCCUUUGAGGAGUUUACGGCCAAAAGGCAUUAUCCCUUAGAGUUUACAGCCGUAAACUCUCAUGGGAUGGUUGUUUUAAUUCUUUCAAGUCUCUUGCACAAGUAGGAUAAUUUCUAAGCUUUUGUUUAAGGCUAAGGGGGACCCUAGGCACACUUUGGUGCCCUUAUUUGGUGUUUACGGCCCAAGAGUAAUUCCUUGGCCGUAAACUCCCUUUAACGGGUGUUCUUGAUGUUUAAAAGUCUCCAAAUUAGCUAGAAGUAAUUGAGGGUUAAAGUCUAAAUCCUUUGGGAGUGAUUAGGGAACAUUUAAGCCCUUGAAUUUGGUGUUUACGGUCCAAGAAACUCUUGGGCCGUAAACACCUAAAGCUAUCUGUUCUUGAUUGUUUUCUAGCCUCAAAUGAUCAUACAUAUUAUCCUAAACUAGUUACCUAUCAAGGAAAUGGGACUAGAUGGCCUUUAAGCUUCAUUUUGGAGUUUACUCCCCAAGAACGUUCUUGGGCGGUAAACUCCCGAAUCUCAUAUUUUUUAUAUACAAUCCAUGUUAAUAAGCAUAAAACAAGUAUUAUAACACAACUAGGGAAGUGUACUCACGAUUUGGGGGGAAAACCCGAAGACCCGUGAGAGAGAAAAUGGCUUUUUUCUAGUUGGAAAUGUGAAUAAUGAAUGAAUUUAGUUCAGAAAUCUAUUUAUGGUCCUGAAAUAUUUUUGGCAGAAAAUAUUUUUAUUCCGGAAUUGGACUAUAACAUUAUGAAAUUUUGAAAUGCUCAAGUUUCACAAACCCAGGAGCAUCCACUCUCCUGAUAUCUCCUUAAACGUAAACCCUAAUGUACACAAACUUAUUCGGAAAAGUAUGAAAAUUAUUUAAACUGGACUAGCUUCUAUUGAAUAGAUAUUGUUCGUACAGAAUGGAAAUUUCGGGUUGUCACAAGAAGGCCCAAUGCCCCAGUUUUCUUUCGGCGGGACGGGUGAUAGCACAUAUCCCUACAACUCUGAGGAUCACAGACAACCGUCAGGGCCGAGCAGAGGGGCCUGUGGUAGGAGGCAGGGCGUUUUAGAAUUGGGCGGCUUGCUUGUGAUUUAGUUAUAUGCCAUCUUCAUACCUUGGAUAAUAAAAUGGUAGUUAGGGGGUUCUGUCCUAUGGAAGCAGCUUACUUAGGAUGCAGUAAGUAUAGCAUGCUUGUGUGAAACUCAGUAGUGACCUGCUGGAUUCAGAAAGGUGUUAGUGAGUAAUGGAUCGGUUAGAUCCCUAGCUAUGGCAAGCUCGGUUCUUUGGCAGAUUGAUUGCUCUAUAGCAGAGAAGAUUGGGAAUUCUUCUCGAGCAUUGAGCAGUGAGGUAGGCAGGAUCAAAGUGGGGGAGAACCCCCCGAGAGUACAGGGGUAAGAGUAUGCAGAUCCAGGAUGAGUACGUGACCUCUAAGAAGGAAAAGAAGUAGCUCAACGAUGGAUGGAUUGAUGAGUUGAGGGUUGGGAGUUUGAAAAACUUCCCUAAAUAGAGUUCAUGUAAUCGAGAUAAUGACUGGUUGUAAUUUCAGGAUGGAGGAUCGCCUGUAGGACUCGAGUGAGUCAGAAUGACGAUUUUGAGAACGUUUAGCAUGGGAUGCUUACGUGUUAAUAGUCAGAGGCAGAGACAACAUGUAGAGCAUGGUAGGGAAGCGGGAGAACCGCAACAUUUUUCUAGCAGCGAGCCAGUGGUGGAAGGUGUUGUAAGACUAUGAGGUAGCCAUAGCAUUCACCAGCGGGCCAGUUAGCAUGGAAGGUAUUGUAAGACUACAGGUAAGCCGUAGCAUUCCCUAACAGUGUAGUUAGUGGAGAGUGGGCGGGGGCCCAUAUCUCCUAGUUAGCGGAGUUUAGGUGAGGUCCUUACCUCCUAAUGAUCAAGGUAAGGAUCAGGAAUGGAUAGUUGAUGAGAAUAGCAUGGAACUAGCCAGCAUAGCCCUAGAAAGGUGAGGCCUUGGGAGAGGCCGCUCCAGGAUAUAGUUGGGUGAGACCCAUGGGCGAGUCCCAUGAGUUUUAGUAGCGCAGGUGGGACUUGGUAAGGACCUUAGGGUCAAGUUAGGGGAUUGAGGAUCCCAGGACUUGUAGCGCCAGAGUGGCAGGGUAAAUGGAGCAGUAUUAGGUGGCCGAAGUUUCUUCGGAAGUCGCUAGGAGCGACUGAGAGAUUACGAUGGGACUAGCAACUGGUAGGAGUCCGGUAAUUCAGAUAUUGAUAGAUUAGUAGGGACUAGGGUGGUCUCGGUUCAUCCGGAAGGCGGAUAAGGGGCAGCAAAAAUUUUCAGUCAGUGUCAGUGAUGGUAAGAAGGCCACGGUGCAAGACAGCUAAUUGAUCGAAGAGUCCAAUGCAUCCCACAGCAGGGUUGGAUAAUCUCAGAUGGAAGGGUUUGACCCUGUUACGCAGCUCUUGUUUGAGUCUAACCGUUGCAAGGAUGAGUCUUUUACUCGAAGGAUUAUCUGAACCAUUUGCUGUGGUGGGUGCUUAACACUAAGAUAUGGUAGUAGAAAGUAUCGAGUGGGUACUGGCAGUAAUGACCACUCUGGAAGUAUCAGGAGGAAUGGAUUCGGUGAAGGAUAAGUCCUUCACAGCGAUAAGGGAGGUAGUUGGUUAUGGAACGUUGCCUUGGGGAGGCCGAAAAACGCACAAGGAAAAGGCGUGAACCCCUAGGAUGUCAAGCAUAAGUACUCGAGGAGUAUCGACCAUGUUUUUAACCUUACUAUUAUUCUCUUGUAAGCUUGUAAGAUUAUUAAAUACUUUUGACUUUAUUUUUAUAUUUUGAUGGAAUUUGACAACAACUGAACUGAAUUAUUUCUUUUAGCCCACUCUGUGACUGCCGAUUGACUAAAUUUUAUACAUUGAAAAUGAUUUCUUGAUUCAAUCCUUGGAAGCGUGUUGCCGGCUAUUUCGAUCUCUCCCAAAAUAAAAUAGAAUGUAUGUAAUAUUUAUUUUAUUAUUAUUUUUUCUUUUUUGUUGAUCGGUAAGCAUAGGAGGGUAUUUUUUGUAGCCCACAACACCCACCAAGGAUCGCAACUUGCAUGAUUUGUACAAAACAAUUUUUCUCCGUACAAAACUUUACACAACUUUUAUGAAGUUGUACAAUAGAACACUUUAAUGCAUAAAUUGUUUUGUAUGAAAAAAAAUUUGUUUCGGUUACAAAGCUCAUACGCUACUUGGUUGUUCAUUAAACUGCAUAGAGACUAAUAUCAAACAGACUUUAUGAUACGGUUUAUAUACAACAUCAGUAGUGCGUUUUCGAAAAUGAUUUGAGUUAAAAGAGUGGAUAAACAUAGAACUGAGAGCAUCCACAAUGGAAAGUAUAAUGGAAGAGUUGAAUGAGGUGUCAAGUCUACUUGUCAUUUAAUGUUUACAAAAACCAUAAAAAUAGAUGAGCAAGCUAUAAAACAACAAACGAGCAUAUGACAUUUAUAGUUUACAAAAACCAUAAAAAUAGAAAUCUUUUAAACAUGUGUUUCAAAUCAUCAUCUCCACCCACUUACCUGGCAUCGAACACCAGGAUUCGGUUUAUUACAAACAUAUAGUACAAAAUGAUUAAAAAACAAUAAUUUAUGAGAAUGGGAUAGUUUUGCAUGAAUAGUAGUUUGAAUGACUCCUGUUUUCCCUCACUUGCAAAGGGAAACGAGAAUGCGGCGAGGUGGCUUUAUUAGUGGGCGUCGGCUAUGGAGAACCAUCAAAUUAUUAACAAGCAUGACAUCACCUUUCUUCCAAGGUAUUGCAACACACUCUUCUUCAAGGAUUCGCAAGCAAUCUUUCAUGGCAGAAUCCGACAAAGGUUCACCAUUCCCAAACUCAAUAGAUCUGCUGUCGUCAUAAAUUUCAGCAUUCGCGGGGCCACCAUAACUAUUUGCGAGACUAUUGAACCAAGUUUUCCGUUGACUUCCUUUAUCAAAUUUUAUGCCUGGCACCGGACCGGUUAUAGUUUUUACACUGUUCCCCAUCCAUUCCAGUUUUGUGCCCAACUUCGCUGCCCUGUGAUUAAAUUAAUGUUAUUCUUGUAUUACAACUUAGUGUAGCGAAAUGUAUACAAACCUUUCCUCUGCAACAUUCUUGUCAUCGGUCAUAUAUGCCGACUUCCAACCGCUGCCGGUGAAAGAUGAUGGAAGAUCCUCGUCACUCAUUAUUUUCGUAUACGUCAAUCCAUGCUCCUCAAGUUUCGCAACGAAAUCUGGGUGCUUCUCUUUCAUCUUGUCAUAUAUGAUAUGACUCAAAACAAUUGGAGUUUCUCCCCCGCUUCGUGGUGCUUCUUGGCAAAAGAAAAAUAGCUUUGAUGGGUAGUCUGGAACCUGUUUGCAUGCAUGACAUAUAUCAGUCGAUUUAAAAAAUGAUAAUAAUAAUCUGAGAAAUUAAGCAACAGAUCCAUAUGGAUAGAUUAAAGGUAUUUACAUAAGCCAUCUCGUGAUGGAAAGGAAUAGUCUUAUCCUGAGGAGCUUCAUUUGUGGUGUAAAUUCGGCCAAGGAUUUUCGUUCGAGAGGCUCUGCCACCGACAUAGAACGCUUCGGGGAAGCCAAAUGCUUCCACGACAUCAUUCAUGUCGGAAGUAGAGUUUACAGGGAAGCCUCUGAAGAGGAUAGCACCUCUUUUCUGGAGAAGAGACUCGAGCCAUGGCUUGUGAGCUUUAAUCGCCUCUUCAAAGCCAUUGAGUUUUGCUGUUGAAGUAAAAUCAGCGUUAGAGAUCGGGGAUAACACCGCUGGGAAAAGAGCGCCAUCGCUGUCAGGUUUUUGCUCAGGUAGUUCUACUUCUCGGAAGAUAUUGCCGGAGGCCAUUUUGAUUGUGUUGUUGUGUAGUGGGAUGCUUUUGCAUGCUUCCUAGAUUGGAUUAUAUAUAGUGAUGAUCACGAUGUGUUCUUGUAUUUAAAAAAUGGGAGUUGGGAUAAUCACAAGAAUCACAUGCUUUUAUCUAAUAAUUAAUACAUUGAUCUAAGAUGAUAAAAUGGUCUCAGUGGGCCGUGAAUUGUAAAUUGCUUCUUACCGUAAAAAAUCUUACAAAUAUAUAAAAGAAAUUUUCAGAAAAUAUCUUAUUUCAAAGUAUUAUUAGAAAAUUGUUUAUAUUUUAUAAAAUAAUGAUGUUAUUUUGCAAAAACAAUCAAACUGCAAACUGAUGACGUUAUUUUACAGAAGAAAAAAAUGAGUUUUUUUUACAUUAUAUAUCUGAAAUUAUAAUAAUUUUUGUUACACAACGUUUGUCGGUAUAGAGUAAUUUAUAGCAAAUUUUUUUUUUCUUUUUUUGAAUUUGGGCUGUAAAUUUUUUUUGUCUUUUUUUGAAUUUGAGCUGUAAAUUGACAAUACAGUCUUAAACUUUAUUUUUUUAACAGUAAAAUCCAAAUUACCGGUAGUUUUUGAAAUUUUUACUAUUUUUUAUUCCGAUUAGCUAGUAAUUAGGACUUUUUUUAUCAAAAAAAAAAAAUAAAGUUUAAAACUUUUUUGUCAAAUCGUCAAUUAGAACAUUACUGUCAAAAAAUAAAGUUUAGAAUAUUUUUGUCAAAUCAUUGAAAAUAUUGGGACUUUAGUGUAUUUUCGUAACCCAAAAAUUUUUAAUUGUGACUUUUGUUGCAGCACCACAGUUUUUCUUACCAUCAUCUUUACCUUGACACAAUCACGAUCAUGAGAUACAUAUACAAAAGAGAGAGCCAGAAAUGGUAAAAAGACUUGUAAAACUUUCUUCUUGCUUCGCUACCAAAUCUUGAACUAAAUAGUGGAGACAUAUGAUACAAAUACAAACAACACAUGCCUAGUCAAAAAAGUGUGAAUGUGGAGAAGGGAAAAAAGGGCAAUUUCGUUUUUUUUUUUUUUUUUUUUGGUUUCUUAUUUCUCCAUUUUUGGGACUGCAAAAAAGAACACAACCCUGGUUAUUAUCUCUAUUUUUUCAAUGUUGGUUUGUUGAGAUUAAAAAAACGAUGUAACAAGAAGCAAACGUUAAAGAUUUCAAUAGGAUCUAGCUGACUAGAGAAACUUUCAAUAACUCUUAUGUUUAAAGAGUAUCAUACCAUUAAAUUUCCAACCAAAAAAAGAAUAUAUAUAUAUAUAUAUAUAUAUAUAUAUAUAUAUAUAUAUACACAACACACANNNNNNNNNNNNNNNNNNNNNNNNNNNNNNNNNNNNNNNNNNNNNNNNNNNNNNNNNNNNNNNNNNNNNNNNNNNNNNNNNNNNNNNNNNNNNNNNNNNNNNNNNNNNNNNNNNNNNNNNNNNNNNNNNNNNNNNNNNNNNNNNNNNNNNNNNNNNNNNNNNNNNNNNNNNNNNNNNNNNNNNNNNNNNNNNNNNNNNNNNNNNNNNNNNNNNNNNNNNNNNNNNNNNNNNNNNNNNNNNNNNNNNNNNNNNNNNNNNNNNNNNNNNNNNNNNNNNNNNNNNNNNNNNNNNNNNNNNNNNNNNNNNNNNNNNNNNNNNNNNNNNNNNNNNNNNNNNNNNNNNNNNNNNNNNNNNNNNNNNNNNNNNNNNNNNNNNNNNNNNNNNNNNNNNNNNNNNNNNNNNNNNNNNNNNNNNNNNNNNNNNNNNNNNNNNNNNNNNNNNNNNNNNNNNNNNNNNNNNNNNNNNNNNNNNNNNNNNNNNNNNNNNNNNNNNNNNNNNNNNNNNNNNNNNNNNNNNNNNNNNNNNNNNNNNNNNNNNNNNNNNNNNNNNNNNNNNNNNNNNNNNNNNNNNNNNNNNNNNNNNNNNNNNNNNNNNNNNNNNNNNNNNNNNNNNNNNNNNNNNNNNNNNNNNNNNNNNNNNNNNNNNNNNNNNNNNUCAAAUGGAGAAAGGGAUAGAAAGGGAGAUUUCAUUGGUUAUCCAAUUUAUCAAAACAAAGAUUUGUUUGAUCGAUUGAUUACAACAUAUCAAGAAAGACGAAGAAAUAAGAGGAAUGGUGAAGUCAUAAAAGGAAUUCCUCUUGCUAAUUGUAAACCGGGAAGAAAUAGACUUGAAUAUUAUGCAAAUUGUCGUGAAGUGCAAGAACAUAUUCUUGAUGAUGUUCAUCGUGUUCAUGAUGUUCAAGGAAAAGAAUUUCAAAACAAUGGAGUUCAAUGUGAUGUUCUUGAUGUUCAAGAAAAAGGAGUUCAAGUUGAUUCUCAAGAUGAAAAAGUUUUUUGCUCAAUUGGAGUUCAAUCAUAUGAUAUGUGUGUUCUUGUGAUUCGUUUGAAGGAAUGAUUCCUUAUCGGAAGCCGGUGGUUCAAGAAAUUCACAAAUAUAAAACUCCAAAAGAUUUGAUUCGAACUCAAAAUGUUCAUGUUGUUGAAAGUGGGUUUGUUCAUGAAGUCAAGUCUUCAAGAUGCAAAAAUAUGAGAAAGAAAAAGAAGAAGAAGAUGAAUCAAAAGAACAAGCGGGUUUACUCACAAGAAUCGUCAUAUGUUGUGAAGCCAAAAUCCAUGAAGAAAAUUUGGGUUCCAAAGAAACAAUCUCCAAAGGUUGCAUUGAAGUUGAAGUCAAAACCCAAAUGUAUUAAUGAUUCUUUUGAAGAUGUUCUUGGCUUGAUGAAGAACAUGAAGAACACGAAGAACGAGUUGUACAUCUCGUAUGGUGGGUGGUACAAUGUUCGAUUUGGAGAUUUUCUCAUUCCGACAAAAGAACCAAGAUCUUCCAAAUUUGAUUCGUUUGUUGAAAACGGAACUCGAUUCGUCAAAAAGGUAUCUCAAAUUCUCAAAUGGAUUCCAAAACAUCCAUGAUUUCAAUUCGUACUUUGCAUUUUUCAUUUUUGAUCGAUUUGCCUCAUUGGAUCUAAUUCAUUUCAACGUCAUAGUUGAUCCAAUUAUUUUUCUUAGAUCAAAAAGUUCAAAAAUAAAAAUCAAAUUCAAUUUUUUUAGUACUAUUCAUCAAUUAAUUCUUAGCCCAUUAUUUCAAAAAUCUAAUGUUUGUUGAGUCCAACUUAUUCGAUCACUAUUCAUUUCGUGAGUCCAAUAACUGAUCAAUAUUGAGUCUAUAAACCUUUGGACUUACUUACAGUUGUUAGUUCAACAUCAUACGCAUAAAGGUGUUGUACAUUCAUGGAAUUCUUUGAAAUCGAAGUUCUUGUGUCUCGACUUUCAGUUCUCACUGUGAAUUGAACCUAUGAUCUUGUUCAAUAGGUCGAUUAUUGAUUAAUGUUUGAAGUCGAUUGAUGAUUUCACUUUUCAAUUUCACUCUUUGACAGAUUUUGAUUAGGUUACAAGUUCUUUCAUCGCUAGUUCUUCAAUUUUGUGUUCUUGAGUUUUGAUUUCCAUUCAUGAAACAAAUCGAUUCAAUUGCAAAGUCGAUUUCAAAAGUUAAAAUUUCAUGUUCUUGGAUAAUCGAUGUUUGGAUUGAUUUGGUUUCUAACUGUCGAUGAAAUUUUGAUAUCGAUUUGAUCAUAUCGCAAGUUUUUGCUAUAAAUGAUUGAUGAUGAUGAUGAACAGUGAAGAACGUCAGAUGAAUUUGAUUGAAAUUGGUAUUUGAUCUAAAAAGUCACUACAAGAAAAAGACCCUUUUACGACGUGGAAACCACGACACUCAUUGAUCUAUGUUACGCAAAAGAGAGUGACAUUAAAAAAGUGUCAUCUCUUCAAAAAAUUUAAGGAUUUAGGUCACGCAUUAUUGUGUGCCCUUAAUUUAGUGUUAUAAGAAAAAAAAUUAAAAACACGGAAGGCACUAUAUCUUAAACGCGCGUCCUCUAUGAGCGUCGCUUUAUAAUUUUAUUGAACGCGCGUUUAGUAGAUAGGGGGAAAUGAAAUCCCCAAAAUUUUGAAAACCCGCCUUGUUCUUUUCUACCUUUUUUCUAUCUUUCAUCUUCACAAUCGUUUCUCUCCUUUCCCUCCUCUCCAAUCCGCUUCUCCCCUAAUCCUGACCUUACUUGUUAAUCGUCUCAUCGGAUCUCUACUCUAGUGUCUCUCUGAAGAUCAAGAAAUUUCAAGCCCUAGUCUCCCUCUGAGGCAGAGACGAAAAGAGAAUGAAACAUGAAGAAUUGACUUAUCGUUGUUACGACUUAUUAUGCUUCUCAAAGCCUUUGAUAAGAACACUGACUCAGAUGCUUCUCAAAGCUUUUUAUAAGCACCCCGUUGGCUUUGCAUACCGAAAAUCGACCCACAUCCUUAAAUUAGGUUUUUUUUUCAUUCCUCAAAUUAUGACCCACAUCCUCCAUAGAUCGAUCCUUAUUGCUUCAUUUCUCACAAGAAAUUGAACACUUUACAUUCAUAGGGCAACAAAAUCAACUAUUUCUGGAACUUGGAUUUCGGUUCCUAUUGAAAUUGAAGGGGUUCUGGUCACCAUGAUCAAAGGGUUAGAGUCUCGUUUGUCAAUGAAUGCUCACAAGGCCAUUGAAGCUAGGGUUUUUGGGCAAAGCUAGAAUCGAUAUUGUAUCGUUCCUUCAGAAUCACGAAGACGCUGAUUGCAAUGGAGUGUAGACAUGGUUAACAGAAGACGAGGAAACAUGAGUGAAAUCUGGAAAUCAGGUAAAAAUGAUAACUAGUCUUUGUUCACGCUCCUCUCCAAGCUAAUCGAGUUCCAUUUUUUUCUUAUCUGACUCGCUUGACCAUAGUAAUGGUUAGUAGAGUUCCACUCUUUUCUUCUUUCUUGCUUCCACUUCAUUUAGUGGUGUUUGGCACUAUGGUUGAUUUGUAAUUUUUGCUUCUUGGAUUAUGAAAUCAAUUCCUCAUGGUUUAAGUUACGGUAUUCCCUAUUAGUAAUUAGAUUUUUUUUGCUCAUGUCAAUUGAUUAGUUUCAGUGAAAAUAUUAAGUAAUCAUAAUCGAAAUAAUCCAACCCAUCUAACUAUGUGGACUUUUCUUUUUUUCAUCUAACAGGGAGUUACAUGAAUUGUGAACCACUGUGAAUUAUUAGAAUUGAUAUGUGAAUCUUUCAAUGGUGGAUAGAGGAACUCCAACUGCUUUCCAGAUCACAUAUUUGUCAAAUAUAACAAAGCUCCCAGUCCUAUUGAAACUAAUAAUGGCAUGGAGGGUAGAGUUGGAAAGAUGAAAUUGAACAACAUAAUUUGAACAUGGUGUCCUAAGGUCGAGAAGAUUUAUGGCCCUGGAAAUCAGUAUGUGAUGGCUACAAAAAUGAUUCUCCAAUUAUGUGAUCCCAUUUGUGAAAAAAAACAAAAUUUUAACAAAUUUAAUAUAAAAACCUAACUAUUUUUGUAUAUUGACACUUGACAGAACAGUGAGGCUAAGGUAUCCAUUGGCAUGCCUGCAGGGCUAUCUGCAGUUCUUGAGCUUCAUGACAAAUAUGCUAGUCCAGUUCACAUAGCUGCAGAUCUGCUUUCUCAGGUUGCUUUUUCAGAUAGCCGGUUGUUCCUCUUAAUCACUAGUAUUAUUUAUGUAAAAUGAUGGUGUGAUGUUAUUUUAAUCAAGAAAUCACCAAGUAAUGGUAGAGGUUAGUUUUUGUUUUUCUAUUCUAUUUUCAGUUUAUUUUUUAUAAUAUGUUUUUGACUUUUAACAACUUGAAUCUUAUUGGUUUUCAACUCUCAGACGAUUACUUUUUCUAACAAGUAGGCACCCGAACACAGUCACCAUCUAGUUCCAGUAGGGAACCAGAAGUAUAAAAUUUAUCUUUAUAAUUGUUUAUGUAAAAGGCAUGAAUACCCUCAUCAACCCCAACAUUGAAAAUAACCCAAAAAACUUGUCCAAUUCCUAAUGAGUUGCCUCUUGACCAUGUUUUAUUUAUAUUUUCAUUAACAUUUUUUUUCAGAGUCGUACAGACCGAAUUAUAUUCAAGCUAUUUGGAAAAGAUCCUAAUGAGUUGCCUCUUGUUCUCCAGAAUCAUAGUUUUGUAGACUUUGGGUUUUGGCUAUUAAUUAUUAUUACUGGAUUAGGUUUAACUAAUUUUGAGUAAAUUUCAGAUUCUUGACUGGUUCUUACACAGUCGUACUAAUAUUGAAAGUUACAUUCAGCCUGGAUGUAUCAUAUUAGCAGUUUAUCUUUGAAUGGACAAUUCCUAUUGGGAUGAGGUAAAUCAAUCUAUUCAGCAAAUAUCUUGUUAUGAUGGAUCAAAUAAACUUACACCUUUUGUUAUGAUGCAACUUUGCUAUGAUUUGAGCACCAAUUUAAGCAUCCAAUAAUUCUUUCUAGAGAACGGGAUGGAUUUAUACUAUGUCAGUUCUUAUCGGUGUUUACAUGUUUUAUUUUAUUGCAUCAGUAUCAUCAACUAUUUUAUUUUUAUCUAGACCAUUGACCCCCAACAUGGACCAAGUGCUACUUGGAAAUUGCUCAUAUUGGUAGUUGUUCUUAUUAGUAUUAGUUGUCAAUUGCUAAUGUGUUGAAUUAUUUAAUGCAUCUGUCAACUGUCAUGGUUGAAUACGAAAUGGAGCUGUAUUCUGAAUCGUGCACAGUUACAUAUGAGCCUGUUAGAACCAUUCAUGGCAUUCAGAAGAGUUAUGCUUCAAAUUGUAAGUUGUAAAGACUACACUGUCCAACAUCUUUAGGAAAUUUGUACACCAAAUGAUAAGAAUCAUUCUCCUGGAAAUCCAGAUGUUGCAAGUGAGAAAAUAUUGCCCUAUUUUUGUCGUUCUUCCAUUUUUCAUGUUGCUCCAAUUGCUAAGUGUGCACCAGUUAAUUUAUGCAAAUUAUAUAUAGGCUUUGGAAUCUUACUGGAACAUAGAAGACUACAUUUAGUUGGAUUUUCUCAGUUGCUUUAUGUGAGUUUUUUUACCAAUGCAUCAUGUAAUCUGAUUGCUUAUUUAUCCAUCACUUAUUUUCUCGAUUGAUAGGAGCUAUACUAUGACUUUGAUCUUGGUGUAUCACCAGCGAAUUUUCGUGAUAUUUUGCUGCAUAGUCAUGCUCUUGAAGGCAUAACAAUGUCUAUGGUAAUUAAUCCUUAGAAAAGUCUUCUCUAGUAUUUGUACUGAUAUUCGUUUAUAAAUAGUAAGGCACCUAUAGUCAUUUCAUCAUUUCAUGUGAAUUUUAAUAUUUUUGUUUGUCUUUAGUUCAUGAUGCAUUCUUUGAGUACUAUAUCAGUUGAUUAUUGUUGCUGAUUCAUGGAGUUUAACCGCAGGUUCACUCUUUUCUUCCCUUAAGAGUUUAUAAAUAGUUCAUGAUGCUUUAACCUCUGUUUUCUUGCGAUAUGGAGCUCUUUGUUCACGACUAUGGCUGAACCUGUUGAUGUUGUUAAUGUAGUCGUCCAUGACUUGUUCGAGGAAAGUCCUGAAUGAACGCCAAAACCUUUUUUCUUCGAAGCUAAUUCCACCCAUGUCAAGGAGUACGUGUUUCAUGUUUCUUGUUCUUUUCCUCUUUAUUUUUAUAACUUGUUGCCGCUGGAAUAUUCUUUAUUUUUAUGUUUACAAUUUCCCUUCCAUCUGAUCUUAGAUUAACUUUGNCAUGCUGGUAUUAAGGAGUUGACUUCUACUCGCCAAAAAAUUACUAGUCAAGUUCAGGGUAUGACUCAAGAUCUUGCUGGAGCUACUGUUGACCGGGUCUGGAACGAAAUCGCAGCGCCGUGACGCCGAAUCCGAACCAGCCCUCGCGUGUUUGGCUUCCAAGUGGAUUAAGGGUAAAAUGGUAACUGUCAUUCCUUGAAGAGAUGGAAUGAAAAAAUAAGGGUCUCAUAUGGUAUGGAAUGACAUUCCUUCGUUAAUGGUUUUUUCCUUUCCAGUUUAUCAACCAAGCAACAUUUUUUACUUCUAACUUUAUCAAAAUGUUAUUUUAAAUCAUAGCCUUUAUUAAAGUGUUGGUUGACUUUUUAUUGAUAUCUCUACUUCUAACUUUAUCUUUAGCCUUUAAUAUAGUAGUGGCAUGAUUUAAUAUGUGUUUUAUACAGAAGCGGGAUAAUUUGGGAGAAAGGGUUAUGUCUUUAGCUUUUGAUGUUAUAUCUCGACUUCUAGAAAUAGCCCCAGUGAGUUUUCAUUCUAUUCCUUCUUAUAAAUGAAUUAUAAUCAUCUGGAAACAGGGAUGGAGACUUGUUUCACCACUUUUCAUCUUUGCUGUAGUCUGCAAUUUUUCCAGCAAUAGUAAUGAAUGAAAAGGUUUGAUAGUUAUUGCUUUAUUAUUUUUGUUUGUUAUUAUUAUAAGUAUUAUGAUGGUUGUUAAUUGAAAAUGCAUUUGCAUCAAAAUCCUAACUGCAAGUAAGUAAUGUUUACAUUGAAAUAAUUUCUUCUUUAGGAGUAGGAUAUUAUGGAGUGGGAGGAAGAUUCAGAUGAGUACAUAAGAAAAAAUCUCCCUUAUGAACUGGUAUGCACUUGUUCAAAUUGUUUAUUGGUUAUACGAAUUCAACCAACAGUAACUAAUUGUGAGCCUGUGAAGUAUUCUGAUGGUCAACAACAUGUAAAUGAAGAAGAGGUUGUUGGUGAGGCAUUUGAAGAUUCUGUUUUGCAAAAACUUCAAAAGGUUUGACUAAUUGACUUUCACUUCAAUGUAUCUUUAAUUCUUGAUUUUCCUUUUUGACAGAAUAACUUAUUCCUUUUUUUGCAGGGUACUGAGAGACAAAAAUGAGUUUUUGCAGAAUAUCUAGAAUUAAAAUUUCAAUAUUGCUACUAGAAUAUGAGUACAUUGAUUAUGUUAUGACAGAAAGAUUGGUGACAAAAUAUCUAGAAUUUAAAUUCCAACAUAACACAUGAAAGGAGAACAAGAAGGAUGUUUCUAUAGAAGAACUGUUGUCGAUUUCAAUAAGUAAGAAUAUCGUGAAUAUGGGUAGCUACUUUUUUAUUUUUAUUUUUUAAAUUUUGUUACAGAUUAAUGAAUGGGAAAUGGAUUGUGGAUGACAAUUUAGAAUAUAGUGGCCAUACAAGGGUAACCAUUUUGAAAUGUUAUAAGUUUUUUUUUAAUAUUUAUAUUAUUGUUAUUAUUACUUUUAAAUAUUUGCUUUAAUGUUUGAAUUAACUUUUUUCUUUCUUUGUUUUCAUUUUUGGUUGAAUUGUUUAUAUUCUGCAGCAUAUGGGUGAUUUUAAUUAUCCAAGAUUAGCUUACUUUGUUGCUGCAACAUCUGGUUCAAACAAAGUACAAUGCCAAAAAGUGCUUGAAGAGCUAGAUGUAAGUCACAUUUAAUGUUCCAUAAAGGUUUUCUGCUUCUUUUUGCCCAAAAAAGUUUCUCAAAUACUUGGUUCUCAUUUUUUCAUUAUAUUCAAUCUAGGUUUACAAACAAUUGAGACUUAGUCUUGAGUUAUUAAAGAAAGAAAUGGAGAUACAAAGGAUUCUGAUUAGCUCCAACUUUACUGGUUUAUGGUGAAGGGGUAUUUUAGUAAUUACCCCUUCCUAUACAAUGUUUUUUUUUGUUUCUAUGUAUUUUGUGCAUCAGGUAAAGUUGAUGGAAGAAAGGAAUAUGAAGCCACUUGAUUUAAAUCUUGCAGCAUUAUCAGCAAGAUGCAGUAAAGACUUGGAGUUGAAUUUGGCUAAGUCAUUAUUGAGUGAGAUGGGCCAAUGUACAACUGCUUAUCCAUAUAAUCAGCUAUUUAGAGCAUUAGUCUUAAAGAAUUAUGAAAGGCAAGAUGCAACUUUACUUAGUUGGAAUUUGAUGUACAUAGUAGAUUAGAUGCAAAUUUAUAUAUUGUAAGAAAUAGAAUUGUAUGACAUUAAAUUUAUGCAAUGGAUUCUAUUUUUUGUAUAUGAUCUUUUAUUUUCUAUUAUGAAACAUUAAAUACAAAUUUAAUUUGAAAAUUAGUAAAUCUAUAAAGAAUAUUUUUUUUAAAACAUUUAUAAUUAUGAUACGCAAAAAUGUGUGUCAUCUUCAUUUAUGACAUGGCCUUUCUUGACAGAGGCUUUCUUGAUACGCAUUGCGUGUCAUUAACACGCGCGUCAUAAGGUUACGACACGUGAAUGCGUAUCGUCUUCCUUUAUGACAGGGCCUUCCUUGAUACGCAUUGCGUGUCGUAACCGCGCGUCGUAAAUGCGCGUCAUAAAUGCACGUCGUAAAUGCGCGUCGUCUCUCUUUAUGACAGGGCCUUCCUUGACACGCAUUUGCGCGUCGUCUGAGCGUUUUACGACGCGCAAUGAGCGUCGUAAAAGGCCUUUUUUCUAGUAGUGAGUGGUUUACAGAAAAACUGUUUGAUGUUUUUCGGCAUGUAGAACGAAGCUUGUGAUUUGCAAUCAUAAGAAAAUUUUCGAAAGAUCUUGGAGUCGAUUUUGAGAAUUGGGGAGUACUGUUCGCAAGCUUGGGGUCGAUCUUUACUGAAAAGCGAAAUGUCGACGGAUAACAAAUUAGAUUUUCGGUUUGAUAUCAAUUUUGGGUUCGAUUUUGUGAUUUUGUGAUAUUAAUUUUGAUACUUCGUUAAAUCGGUGACGAAUUUGGUUUCAAUCAGACAGAUGAAGUCUUGAGCCUAGAUUAAAUGUUCGAAGGUUGUUACCAAGAGUCAAUAAUCGGGAUCGAUUUUGUGCUUGUUUAUGUGUUUGUUCGUGUUUACAAGGAAGCUUGAUUUUGGGUUGCUGAUUGAAAAACGAAAGAGUGAAAUUUCGUAAUUUGGAUGAUUGGUUUUUAGCUUUAGCUGUCGGUGUUGAAUAACUGGAAGAACUGAAAAAUUUUGGGUUCGCAUAUCGUUUUUUUUAAUUGGAGGUCAAGAUCGUUUGCAACUAGAUUCGCAUUUGUGUGAAUCAAAAUCGGAUUCGCAUAUAAAGAUGUAAUAUGGAGUUUGCAUCUGGGUUUCAAAAGCAAUUCACAUAUAAAAGCAAAAGGAUUCACAUUUGGUUACUCGAGGUAGAGAUGCGAAGUUUUCAUGUUGUAAAUUGGUUGAUUUGUUUAAUGGUCAAACAAGAUUCGCAAUUGGUUGAAUGGGUUGGUAUCAAAGUGAUUCAUUCGCAUUCAUGUGUCAGUAUGCGAAUGUUUUGCAAGUGAUUUGCGAAGAUUAGCCUGAAAGAGUUUGUUGAACGUGCGAAGACUUUGACUGUGACAUAUUCGUGAAUUGGGGAAGACAACAAAAUUUUCGAAAACAGUCCCUACAGUUUCUCAUUUUUGGAAAUAAAUACCCAAUUUCGCAAAUAGCAAUAAAAGCUGAGAAAUUGCAACAUUUUCAGUUCUGGUCCUUGCAGUUUGUGCGAAUUUUCACUUAAUGCCCGGUUUCGCAAAUGGUCUAGAGUUCCGCAUAUUUGACUGUUUUAGGCGCAACGAGUCCCUGCAAGUUUCAGAAAGUGACAAUUUUUACCCGGAUUUUGAAAAAUAUUGCAACUUUCACCCAAAAAGUCAAAAUUUUUCAUAAAUUGAAAAUUUUUUGUGGUUUUUUCGUGAUUGUUGUUCAAUGCAAGAUUUUUGGUGAUUCAUUUUUGGUACACAUCAAGGGGGAGUAUUGUGAAGAUUAUUCCUCGGGUGCUUCUCAUCCUUAGUGGGUUUUAUAAUCAUUUUUUUGAUUAUAAAAGGGGGAGAAAUGUUGGGUAUUCGAAGCUUCUCGGGUUUGUUGAACAUUCAUUUGCGGAUUUGAAGACCGAUGUUACUUCGAGGGGGAGUUUGGUCUUGAUCGCGCUAGCUCGUUGGAGAUUAAAGUCGGACAUCCAAUCCUAACUUUGAGGGGGAGAAUGUUAGGGUGCAAAGUCAUGCUUGGAUGUAGUGUUUAGGCUUUCCUCUUUGUAUGUGUAAAUGGGUUGAGUCUUUUCCUAUAAAUAGGAAGUGAGUAACUUCCAUUAUGUAAGAGUCCAUUUUGGAGUGUUAGACUAGAGAGAGAAUUCGUAUACAAACCCAUUUGUAUAAUCUUUCUAGAUCUAAUAAGAGCUUACAAAGAUUUAUUUACUCCUUGUGUUCUUGAUUUUACAUAAUGAAUCACUAGAUCUUUCUAAUUCCGCACAUGCCAUCAUAAUCAACACCACUACAAAAAGUCAUAAUUACCGGCUAAGCGGAAAAAAAGGGUAAAAGUUUCAAAAAUUGUCGGUAAUUUGGACUUUACUUUCAAAAAAAUAAAGUUUAAAACUUUAUUUUCAAAUGGAUGAAAAUAUUGGGACUUUACUGUAUAUAUCCCUAAGAAAACUAUAAUCAUGAACCUUUUUCAAUUUGUAUUAUUUUUUUACGAUUUUUUCAUUAUAUAUUUACGUGUGUAAACCAUGGAUAAAGUAUCUGACUUUAAGCAUACCUCAUAUUUUUAAGAGAAAAUAUAUAUAUCAUAGUCAUUUUAAAAAAAUUACCAAAAAAUAGCAAAAAAAUAAAAAAGAUUCCUUUUAACCACAAUUUCCGCAAAUGACGUCAUCCGCUAAACACGAUAUCAUCUACGAUUAUUCUUUUCCGUAAAAUAACAUUUUUAACUGCAAAAAUGCAGGUUUAAUCUGCAGUUGCUGAAGUCACCGAUGACAGGCGAUAUCAUUAUUUCUUUAAAGGCUUCACUACUAGAAAAAUCCUAAUUAGUGAGUACAACAAUUUUGGUCACUAAAAAUAGAGGUGUUGUCAGUAAAACGAUUUUCUAACACUUGUGUUUCAUGACAUAUAUUAUUACAGAAAUGGUAAUGCAGUUUGAAAGGUGUUAUGGUGUAUCAUUGCGAAUUGAAAGGAGAAUAUAACACUUUUUAAAGUAGAUUGGUAUUGUUGGAAAUGCACGACACUCGCAUAUAUAUGUGCUUUGUGUCGGGUCAAGGUUAUGCUUAACCUUAGUCAACGGUAAAAAUUCACAAUGCUUAGUAUAUUUAUUAUUACAACGCAUUAAGGUGUUCGGUGUUGGAGACAUGUAGCGUGGAGGAGACACGUGCUAGGGAAUUGAGGUGUGUGGCUCUCUAGACAGUUAUAUGGGCGUGGUGCGCCCAUAGAGUGCCACAACGCGUUUCCUCAUAAUUCUUUAAUGUUGCAAAGCCCAUUAGGCUUCCCCAGGGCGAGCGACUAUGGAGUAAGGAGUAUUCGGUCUAAACGGAGAGUACAUGGAUUUGAUAAAUUAUAUAAAAUUAAUUCUAGGAAAAUUAUAUAUAUAACAAAUAUCACAACUUUUUUCAAACUUAAAAAAAAAUAGAUAAAUAUCAAUAACACUUAAUGUUUUUUCUUUCUAAAACAAGGGUUAUUGGAACCAGUGUUAGUUGUUAGAAUAUGAACUCAAUAGUAAGCUUGAUAGAUGAAUUCCCCGGUGGAAUUCUUGACUUGGUUAACCAGGAGGUUUAUGAACCCUAGUCUAUGUAAUUGUCAUAUAUUUUAAAAUGAACUAACGGAUUACAGGAUUAAGUCGUUAUGUGAUUGUUUUAGGGAGCUUGACGAGUUUGGUAACAAAUGGUUACCGAGUUUAGCUGAGUUUAGCUGGUGAUCAAGUAAUUAAUCAUCGUGGUUGAGUUGGUUGAGUUGCAUUAUAGAUACACUAGGCUAUAUAUAUAUUAAAUAAUUAAUCUACUUAUGUUGGUUGUGAGUAGUGGAAUGCUGGUGAAGCCGUUUAUGGCUAAAAGUAAUGGAGAAUUGACAUAGUGAUGUAUUAUUGGAAUGUAUACAAACGGUUUAGUUUAUGACCAUUGAAGUGUGAAAAAAGUUUCUUACUAUAUAAUAUGUGACAACCCGAAAUUUCUAUCUUGUACAAGAGACCAAUUGAAUCAAAGUUAGACUCGUUUUACUAGCUUUUAGCACUGUUUGGGGUCUAUUUGAGUGUUCUAAACCUAGUACAAUUAAGGUGGGAACCUAGAAAUGGGAUAACAUGAUGCACAUCACGCAAAAUCGGGCCAAACACUCCAAAACAUGGAGUGUGUGGCCGCACACUUGAGUGUACGGCAACACACGGGUGUGUGCGGCCGCACACCCAUCCCAACCACACACUCUUGCCUAUAUAUGCCAUUCUUAGUCAUUUUUGAACACUUUUCCUACUCCUUCAAAGCUGGAACACGUUUUCUCUCAAGUAUCAUCCAAAUCUUCAUCUUGAUCUUCAUAAAAGUAAGUAAUCCCUCCUAUGACUUGUUGAUUCUUGAACUUAACUAGCCUUCUUCCCCACUUAGAUCCAUGAAAACACGUUUUUGGUGUAGAUCUUCAAAAACACCAAGAACACAUACUAAGUUUUGGACUCUAAUCACCUGUUUCAAGCCUAUAUAACAUGUAUAUACUUGUUAUACCUGGUUAUAUGUUAAGAACACUUGAUGGUAUGCUUGAAAAACUUGAGUUUAUCAUCUUCAUGAAGGGUGUGCGGCCGCACACCUUCAUAGUGGCCGCACACACCCUUUUUAGGUCCUAAAAUGGCAAUGAACUCCAUAUAAGGCUAGAAUAUGAAGUGAGAAACCUUCCUAGAUGGGUCUUAAGGCCUUAGAAUAUGUUUUGGCACACUUCAUGGGGAGUGUGCGGGCGCACACACAUCCUGGCUGCACACACACACACACACUAAUAUGGUGUAUUUUGACCAUACACUCCCUUGUAUAGCCAUACACCCCUUAUAUACAAUCAUAUAUGGUUGUAACACUUCAAUAUAAGUGUUUACUAGCCCCUAAGGUGGUCCCAAUUCUGUAAUUAGUUGCUUCAAAAACUAAUUGUAUACAUACAUAUGUCGUUAUAUGGUUAAUAGGAUUCGUUUGUGCUCAAGUCCACAAUUGACAUUCAACCCCCUAAACCGAUCCUACCGUCGCAUCACUCACUAACAGGUGAGUUCAUACCUGUCACACCCCAAAACCAAGAACGGUGGAAACCUUCUAGGGCGGAGGACGUCAUGUACAGUAUCACAACAAUGAAAAGUAGUAAACAAGUAACAACAUCAUCCAUUGCAUUAAUAAUAUAAUUAUAAUACAAGUGUGUUUUGUCAAAUUUUGAUAAACACUAAAGCAUAAAUCAAAAUGAAUGAUGAGUCUUGAACGAGCUCCAUCUUCUCUAAACCUUGCAUCGGUACCUGUCUAUGUUUGACCUGAGGAUACAAGUUAUUUUUAAAUUGAGUAUAAGCUUUGAAGCUGGUGAGAUCAUAAGUAUUUUAGUGUCUUAAUGUAUAUGUAAGAAAUUGUUUGUAUAUGAACUGUAAGUAUGGAAAAUGUAUACGAACUGUAAGUGUAAAAAUGUUUGUAAAAC
rnacentral:lncRNA from 1 species